rnacentral:lncRNA from 1 species
CUGGCUCGGUGCAACGUCGAGGCGGCCGACCAUAGCUCGUUUCGCUUCAGGCUCACCUUCUGGCCGUCGUCGCCGAGCCGGGUAGGGAUAUUCGUGGUCAAACACUUCUCUCUGGGAACUCCGUUGCUUGGUUUUAUUUAAGACGGAACCGGAACGAUAGCUGGGUCUCGUUUUCCCUAGUCCACCAGCAUGCUCGAUUUGAACGAGCCGUCCCUUUUGUCGAGUUUGAGCGUUACUUGCUGUUCUCUUUUGAGUAAAUAACUUGGAGUGCUGCCAUUUUCGUUCUCUAUUGAUGGCUGCUUGAAUAUUCUCAAGACUCCUCCCUUUCGUUUCAAGAACACAACCUUUAAAUUCCCCCCUAGAGUUUCUGCAUGAAAAUUGAUUAUUCACUGGUUUAAUAGCAUGCAAGCAAUGACUGGAGUUUAUCUAUUUAGAUAUGGUGGCAGACUUUUGACUAGUUAUUGUUGGAUUUUUGAUGUCUUAGUGCUGCUGUUUUUAGACUAAAGCUUCUCUGUUCCGUUUUAUAUUGUUUUAGUUUAUUUUCUUACUUAGUCAAUUAUGUUAUGCAGUUGUUGUUGUGUUAUUUAGGAAGUUAAGUACCUGUUCGGGUGCAGUUACAAGCAGAACGUGUGUGUGCAGUUAUUUUUUUUGGUUUAAGUCGUGUUUUGUACUUGACUUUUUUACUAAAGAACUGUAGAAGGCAGUUUUUAUGCUCUGUUUUCUCUGUUUCCUCUGUUUUUCUUCUUUCUUCCUCGAUAUCUAUAGUUCUGGCAUUUAUGCUUCUUUGCUGCUUUGAUCAGCAUCAACAGUGGUAUCAGAGCAUCGAAUGAUCUUGAGGGACUGUGAAGUGAAGCAAGUAUUGUAGUGCAAAGAGGUUAGAGGGUGAUGGAUACAAGUUCAAGUGGUUUUUCUACGAUGGCUUCUCCAGUAUUUACUGGAGAGAAUUAUCAAGCAUGGGCUGUUAAAAUGAAAGCAUUUCUGGAGGGUCAUGAUCUGUGGGAAGCUGUGGAGGAUGAUUAUGAAGUUGCUCCACUUCCAAAUAAUCCGACCAUGAAUCAAAUCAAGCUUCAUAAAGAGAGAACCACAAGGAAAGCCAAGGCAAAAUCUUGCAUGUAUGCUGCUGUCUCGCCUACCAUCUUCACUAGAAUUAUGAAGUGUGACUCUGCGAAGGUCAUAUGGGAUUUCUUGAGGGAAGAAUAUGAAGGAGAUGAGAAGAUAAGAGGUAUGAAGGUGCUGAAUCUCUUGAGAGAAUUUGAGAGACAGCAGAUGAAGGAAUCUGAGUCAAUGAAGGAAUACUCAGAUAGGCUAGUGGGAAUAGCUGAUAAAAUCAGAGUUUUGGGAACUGACUUGAGGGAUGAUAGGCUUGUUCAGAAGAUCCUAGUGUCUCUUCCAGAAAAAUUUGAAGCUACUAUAGCUUCUCUGGAAAACACAAGGGACUUGGCUGAUAUAAAACUUGCAGAGUUGCUGAAUGCUUUGCAGGCACAGGAGCAAAGAAGACUAAUGAGGAGAGAAAAUCAUGUUGAGGGGGCAUUGCAAGCCAAAGUAAAGCAAAAUGAUGGAGGCAAAGGGAAGAAAUGGAUUCAGUUUAAGGGAAAUGUUGCUGAUUCGAAAUUUUUACCAAAAGAAGGAAAUGCUGGUGGAUCUAGCAAAUGGAAAAAUAAUAAAAGGCCAUGUCAGUACUGUGGUGGAACCAACCAUCAGUCCUUUAGAUGCUGGAAAAGGCCAGAUGCGAGGUGCAGAAGAUGCCACAAGUUGGGUCAUAUGGAAGCUAUUUGCAAAGGGAAAGCUUAUCAGCAAACAGGAGAAGCACAAGUGGCAGUGAGUGAAGUUGAUGAAGAGCACUUAUUUUUUGCUUCAGCUGGUGAAUAUUCAGUCGAAAAUAGUACAUGGCUGAUAGAUAGUGGUUGUACUAAUCACAUGACUGGCAACUUAGAGCUAUUCAAGAGCAUAAACAAAACAGUAAAGUCCAAAGUCAGAAUUGGCAAUGGACAGCAUAUUGAAGUUCAGGGUAAAGGUGUAGUUGCUGUUAAAGGAAACCAGGGGGUGAAGUUAAUCAGGGAUGUCCUCUUUGUGCCAAACAUUGACCAGAAUCUGUUAAGUGUUGGUCAGUUAGUGGAGAAGGGCUAUAUAGUGAAGUUCGAAGGAAGGGAAUGUCUCAUUAAAGAUACUGACAGCAAUGAAGUCUUGAGAGUUCAAAUGAGGGAUAAAAGUUUUGUGUUCAAGCCAAAUGAGAUGCAGCAGAUGGCUUUGAAGUGUACAGAAGAGAAUAUAGAGCUGUGGCACAAAAGAUUGGGGCAUGUUCAUAGGAGGAGUAUGCUGGUUAUGCAGAGAAAUGGCCUGGUAGAUGAUUUACCAAACUUGAAGGAAGAGCUUCCACAAUGCAGAACCUGCCUUCUUGGAAAACAAACUAGAUUUCCCUUCAAAGGAGGAGUCUCGAAGACAUAUCAAAAGCUGGAAUUAGUUCACACUGAUGUGUGUGGACCUAUGUCUGAACCUUCUUUAAAUGGAAGCAGAUAUUUUAUUACUUUUACUGAUGAUCUGACUAGAAUGAGCUGGAUCUAUUUUCUGCAAGCUAAGACUGAAGUAGCUGAUGUAUUUAUGAAGUUUAAAGCAUUAGUUGAAAAUCAAAGUGGGAAGAGAAUCAAAGCUCUCAGGUCAGACAAUGGAUCUGAGUAUACAGCUAACAAAUUCAAACUGAUUUGUGAGCAAGCUGGAAUUGUACAGCAAUUUAUAGCCCCUUACUCACCUCAACAGAAUGGGGUUAGUGAGAGGAAAAAUAGAAGCAUUAUGGAGAUGGCCAGAUGUUUGAUGCAGGAAAAGAAUUUGCCUAAAAGUUUUUGGGCUGAGGCAGCCAACACUGCUGUAUUUCUUUUAAAUAGAUUACCUACAAAAGCUUUAGAGAAACUGACACCUCUCGAGGGCUGGCAAGACACUAAACCUUCUGUGAAAAAUUUGAAGGUUUUGAAGUUGUGUAUACUCAUAUUCCUGAUGUCAANNNNNNNNNNNNNNNNNNNNNNNNNNNNNNNNNNNNNNNNNNNNNNNNNNNNNNNNNNNNNNNNNNNNNNNNNNNNNNNNNNNNNNNNNNNNNNNNNNNNAGGCUGAGAUUGGAAUUUUUGUUGGAUAUAGCUCUCAAUCAAAGGCUUACAGAAUUUUCUAUCCAAAGACAAGGAAGAUUACUGUGAGCAGAGAUGUUAUGUUCUUAGAGGAAGAUGAAUGGAAUUGGUUAAAUGGAAGGAACACUGAAUUGAAGCACUUUGAAAGACAACCUGAAACUGAUGUGGAGACUAAUGAAAUUACAUGGGAAAUGGAAGAAAAUAUAGAUGAUGAACCUGUAAGAGGCACAAGGUCACUUGCUGAGAUCUAUGAAAGGAGUAAUGUGGCAGUGCUCGAACCAUCAAAUUUUGCUGAAGCCAAGGAAGAUCAGAAGUGGUUUGCAGCAAUGCAGGAGGAGAUGACAAUGAUUCAAAAAAAUCAGACUUGGGAAUUGGUAGAUAGGCCAUUAAAUAAGAAUGUAAUUGGGGUUAAGUGGGUCUUUAGGACAAAACUCAAUCCUGAUGGCUCUGUUAACAAGUAUAAAGCAAGGCUGGUUGUGAAAGGCUAUGCUCAGGUAUGGGGAGUAGACUAUUCUGAAACUUUUGCUCCAGUUGCAAGGCUAGACACAGUAAGACUCCUGUUAGCUGUUGCAGCCGAGAAGGGUCGGACUAUUUUUCAGCUUGAUGUCAAGUCUGCAUUUCUAAAUGGUGAGCUUGAAGAGGAAAUUUUUAUUGAACAACCUGAAGGGUUCUGUGUUAAAGGGCAAGAAGAGAGUGUAUACAAAUUGCACAAAGCUUUAUAUGGACUGAAGCAAGCUCCAAGAACUUGGUAUGGAAAAAUUGAUCGAUAUCUACUGGAUUUAGGUUUUAAAAGGAGCUUGAGUGAGUUCACUCUUUAUAUUAAGAAAGUGAAUCAUAGUGUGGUAGUUCUGUCUCUAUAUGUGGAUGAUCUUUUGGUAACAGGAAAUGAUGUUCAGCUGAUAGAAAAUGUUAAGCAAGGCUUAUUUGCUGGUUUUGAGAUGACAGACUUAGGAAAAAUGGCUUACUUCUUAGGUCUGGAAAUCAAGCAAAGUCCUUAUGAAAUCUUCAUUUGUCAGAGGAAGUACUUAAAGGAAAUUUUGAAGAAGUUUCAGAUGGAAGAAUGUCGAAGUGUCAGUACACCUAUGGCAGCAAAAGAGAAGUUGCAGAAGAGUGAUGGAACUGAAGCUGUGGAUGUCUCGAUGUACAGAAGUCUAAUAGGUUGUCUCAUGUACCUCACAGCAACCAGACCAGACAUUCUAUUUGUUGUAAGUGUUCUGUCCAGAUUUAUGAGUGAUCCAAGUCAGCUUCAUUUGAUUGCAGCUAAAAGGAUUUUAAGGUAUUUGAAAGGAACCAUGUUUUUUGGAGUGAAGUUUCGAAGGAGUCAAGAAUUCAAUCUACAAGGUUAUUCUGAUAGUGAUUGGGCUGGCUCGAUGGAUGAUAUGAAGAGUACAUCUGGGUACUGUUUCAGUUUAGGAUCAGCUUGUUUCACUUGGUGUUCUAAAAAGCAAGAAAUUGUAGCUCAAUCUACUGCAGAAGCAGAGUUUAUAGCUGCUACUGCAGCUGCAAAUCAAGCCUUAUGGCUGAAGAAGAUAAUGAAAGAUCUUUGGCUGAACUCCAAUGAAUGUAUCAAGAUCAAUGUGGAUAACCAAGCUGCAAUUGCAAUAUCUCAGAACCCAGUUUUUCAUGGCAAAACUAAGCAUUUCAAGGUCAAGUUCUUCUUUCUACGUGAGGUGCAACAAAAUGGUGAGGUCAUGCUGGUUUAUUGCAGAUCUGAAGAUCAACUUGCUGAUAUUUUUACUAAACCACUUCAAGCUAGAAGAUUUGAAGCAUUGAGAAAGAAAAUUGGAGUAUGCAGCAGCUACUGAUCCAAGGAGGAGUUUGUUGGAUUUUUGAUGUCUUAGUGCUGCUGUUUUUAGACUAAAGCUUCUCUGUUCUGUUUUAUAUUGUUUUAGUUUAUUUUCUUACUUAGUCAAUUAUGUUAUGCAGUUGUUGUUGUGUUAUUUAGGAAGUUAAGUACCUGUUCGGGUGCAGUUACAAGCAGAACCUGUGUGUGCAGUUAUUUUUUUUGGUUUAAGUCGUGUUUUGUACUUGACUUUUUUACUAAAGAACUGUAGAAGGCAGUUUUUAUGCUCUGUUCUCUCUGUUUCCUCUGUUUUUCUUCUUUCUUCCUCGAUAUCUAUAGUUCUGGCAUUUAUGCUUCUUUGCUGCUUUGAUCAGCAUCAACAGUUAUGCACUGUUCAGAAUCCCAGAUUCAUUUGUAAAGGUUUCUAGAGGAAGGAUUUUGUUUACUGUUUUUCUAAAUUAUACAACAGGUAUUUAUAAUUUAGAUUUCUAAAAUGUAAUUUCCUUUCAAUUUCCAGAGAGAAGGAUCGCAUUGUUUCUUGGUGCAACUGGGCAGAAGUUUCUAUCUGUGUAUUGCUCGUGUGGCACGUAUAUUGAUUUUUUUGACAAUCCUCCUAACAGUUUACUUGGUGACACCCAAUAACAUAUCGUUUGGCUAUAUUUUGCUCCUCCUAUGUUGGAUCAUGGGAAGACAACUCGUUGAAAGGACGAGAAGACAUUUUUAGUUUCCAUUAAAAGUAUAUGCAAUCACUGUGUUUAUCUUCUUAUACAGCUUGAGCAAUUUCUCCACCCUUGAGAUGUGGUUGUCGGGGUUGAUUGAUCUUCAGUUUUACUUGGCCUACAACUCAGAAGCUUUGCUAUUGCAGAAUAUUUGGCAGUCUAUUGCAAUACUGAUUGUGAUGCAGCUUUACAGCUACGAGAGGAGACAGAGCAAGUAUAUCCAAUUUGGUGACUCCAAACUUAUGGAAUUUGGAGUACUUGGAUUUAUUAAGAGUUUCCUCAUUUGGCACAGUGACAAGAUAGUGUCUAUAUCAAAGUUCUAUGCAUCAUUGUCACCAAUUAGUCUCUUUGGUUUCCUUUAUCUGCUCGGUCUUGUCAUUUGUUACCUUUUACCUAAAGCUUCUCGAAUCCCAUCAAAUUUUAUUACUUCUUUAUACAGGACUUCUGGUGAUGACAGAAUAUCUCUUUCAGAUGUGGGGUGCCCAGGCAGGAAUGUUUCCUGGACAGAAUGACUUUAGUUUGGCCAAGUUCUUGGGUUUUGAGUUAUUUCAGUCAGGCUUUUGGGGUCUAGAAUUGGGUUUAAGGGGGAAAAGUGCUGGUGUUAUCUGCUUGUAUCCUUCAAUACAAUGUCUUCCGUUGGUUGCAAAAAGUACCAACUCACAUUUUGAGCAAAUAUUACACCAAAGAACCUUGCCCUCUGUUUGUAUCAACAGAAGAAGUGUUUAGGGAUUUUUCUAAUUCAAACGGGGAAAGCAACCGCCUGCAGAUUCUCCUGCAAUUCCUUGUGAAGCAUAAGGCGUGAGAAACAAUUUGUCUUCCUCAGCCUCUGGUUUUUCUCAAGCAUCAAAUAAUGUACCCAAAACUGGAGGCUCUGGGGGUGGCAGUGCUAGAAAAUAUUCCUUUGGAUAUAUUUGGGUAAGCACCAACGAAAGCCACAAAUGGAACAAGAAAAGAAUUAUCACCAUGAGAAGGGAGAGAUUUGAAACGCAGAAGACAAUCUUCAUAGGCUAUAUAAAUUUUUGGAUGGAGAACAUGUUUAAUCUCUUGGGCCUCGAAAUAAACAUGGUGGCCUUGCUCCUUGCCUCCUUUGCUUUGUUAAAUGCCAUUCCAAUGCUAUAUAUUGCACUUCUCGCUGCUUGCAUACUUCUGAAUCGCAAUGUCAUUCGGAAAUUAUGGCCAGCACUUGUCUUUUUGCUUGCUUCCAUUCUCGUCCUACAAUACUUUGUCAUUUGGAAGAGCACACCAUCUGCCAAUUCACAAACAUCAAGUAAGGCUGAGUCUGUAUUUCCUUUCGAAUUUUAUGAUUCUCCUGCCAGUAUGAAUGCUGAAAGUCUUCAUGUGAUGAAUUCAGCUGAUCAUUCAUUUGACUUUUCCGAUUGCGAGAUCAAUGAGGCUGAGAAGGAUGGUGGAGGUUCUUUAUAUGAUUCAGAUAAGAGAGCCAGAGGUCAAGCUGAGGAUAACUCUGUAGUUUCUGCUGUGCAGCUUUUAGGAGAUGGCGGUUAGUUCUCUUGUAACCUUCCCCGAACAUCAAGCCAGAAGACAUGGAUGCCAGGGGCAUACUCAAGCAGUCUCCCCUGCACCCGAUCAACGGCCAGGAUCACUUGACGAAGCAGCAGAAGUUCGCCAGAUCGAAGCUCCGGGUCUCCAUCAACCUGCCGGACAACGAAAUCUCCCUCCUCCGCAGCCGGCGGAACCUGAGCUUCAGCGAAUCGUCCGCCGGCGCCGGCGCCAGCGCCGAACCUCCGACUUCUCCUUCUUCAUCUCCCCACUCCUCGUCCUUGGCCUCAGCGUCGAUCGGUCGGAUCUUCAAAGGGAAGGCUCCGGCGACGGCGAGGGGGAGCCUCGAGAACGGCGGUAGCGGCGGUGACCCCGCGGGGGGCGGCAGGCGUAUAGGAGCACGAGGACGGUGGUGGAGGUGCUGCGGGAGCUGGACGCGGACAUAGUGGCGCUGCAGGACGUGAAGGCGGAGGAGGAGAGGGAGAUGAAGCCGCUGUUGGAGCUGGCAGCGGCGCUGGGGAUGAGCUACGCGUUCGCCGAGAGCUGGGCGCCGGAGUACGGCAACGCCGUCCUCUCCCGGAAGGUCCAAAAGAUAUUCGACGACACCGAUUUCAGGUCCGUCAUUUCGUUUUAUUUUAUUUUAUUUAUUAAUUUAUUAAUUUCCAUAUAAUUUUUACCUGUUAUUCUUGCUAUCAUUUUCGUAAUUAUGGUGACGAUGAUAUGCUCUCUUUCUCAUUGAGCAAGUGGUCUUCCUAGGCGAUUUCGAAAUUUAAAAGAUAUUUUCAUUUAUUUAUUGAGGCGUCCACCGUUGAAAGCGAAGUUUGAUAAUAUAUCAUAAAUUAAUAUUCCCUCUUGACAUAUUAUAUAAUUUUUUCUUACAUUUUUCCAAGUGAAAAGAUUAAUUGCGCAGACCCAUCUACAACGGUGCAAAUCCACUUUGGACAGUUGAAAUUUUCGUUAAAAUUAAGGUAAGGUGGAUGUAAUAAAAAUUCACAAGACCAAAAAAUAAAAGCAAAAACAUAAGCUUUUGCCUAGCCAUCAGAAUUUGUGGAUGAAAAUCUUGCUGUCACUUGGUUUAUAUUUUGUCUUUUUUUUUUUCCCUCCCCUUUUUUAACUGUUCUAUUUGGAAUUAUCUGAAUGGAGUUGUCCAGGAACUGAUCUGGGAAGAAUUUGGAAUAUUAUUCACGAGAACCCUACCACCAAAAAUUCAAGAAUUCCCCAAGGCUUUUCUCCCACAGCCUGUUUGCCUUUGUUCAACUUACGGAAAGCUAUCUGCAACAACUAUGGUGGGCCUUUCCAAGGAUCCCAGCACCAGCUGGAGCAAUGCCAGUCAGAAUUAAAAUAUAAAUUAAAUUAAAAAAAACCCAUUAUUUGCUUUCUAUGAUCUUAGAUAUGGGUUCUCCCAAAGAAUUGUCAUUUAUCAAUAAUAAUAAUAAUAAUAAUAAUAAUAAUAAUAAUAAUAAUAAUAUCUUCGGUUAUAACUAUUCGAAAUUCGUGCGAGUGUGUGUGAUGAAAGACUGUCUUGGACUUCUUUCAUUCCUCCUUUUUUCAUUUCUGGUUGCAUUUAGUGGGUUGAUGAGAGUCACCGUUGAAGAUCAUUUUGUACUAAUUGCUGAUAUAGUCAAGAGAAUGCUUAGGAACUGCUAAAUUACAUAUAUAUUUUUUGCUCUUUAGUAUUUAAAUAAGGAGUUGGGAAGAUAAACGAAGGAUAAGAUCUAUGACGUACAUUAAAUGAGGGCAGGGUAAGGUGUAUGUAGGUGGGACAGUAACGUGGGGAGGAUUUUGCUUUUGCUUUAUUUUAUGUAUUUGCCAAAUCAGAUGCUUGACCUGAAGACUGUGCAAGGACUACUCAUCUUCAAGGAAAACUACAUUUCUCUCAAGCGAGACAGACCAGAUAGAAUUAACUUGUUUGAGACAGCAAGCAAUUGCUCGUCAUGGAGUCAAUUUCCGAGACUUUUGCGUUCGAUUAAUUGAGCCACGCCUUAGAUAGUGAAGGGAUUAUGUGCUUUCGUUGCGCGAAAAUUCAGAAAAAGAAGAAAAGGGUGAAUUGAAAUAUAAUCGAUCGACGUAUUAAAUUGACUAGGAAUCAAAGUGGCUGUGAAGUUGAUAUGUUUUAUUAGGGAAAAGUACCAAAAAAGUCUUAAACCUAUUGCAUUAGUACCAAUUCAGACAUAAACUUUUCAAUUGAACCAAUUCAGUUCUAAACCUUUUACUAUUGGUACUAAUUCAGUCCAUUCGGCCAAUUUUGGCUAGCCGACGCUGACAUGGACGUCGGCCGGUGGCCGGACGCUGAAGUGGAAAUUUUUAUGAUUUUUUUUAAUUAUUUUUUCGAAUUUUAUUAUUAUUAUUUUUCUUUUUUCUUUUCUUUUUCCUUUUUUUUUUUUUGUCUUCUUCCUUGCGUUGGCCGGCGAGGGCUUCGCAGCCCUCGCCUGCCGCCGGCGAGAGUCGCGGCCCUUGCCCGGCCUCUCCCAGGGCCGUUGGUGAGGAGGCUUUGCCCGGAUCUAGGCAAGGCUAGCCUCGGCCGCGGCCCUGGGCGAGGCCGGGCGUGGGNNNNNNNNNNNNNNNNNNNNNNNNNNNNNNNNNNNNNNNNNNNNNNNNNNNNNNNNNNNNNNNNNNNNNNNNNNNNNNNNNNNNNNNNNNNNNNNNNNNNAAUUAAAAUCAAGCAACGGGUCACUAAAGCUGACCUUCACCAAUUAGUGCACCAUCAUUACCCUUUGACUAAUAUCGGUUCGUUUUGAUUUGUACGUGCGGUAGAAAUUUCCUAGAAGGAGAGACCCCUCUUAAUGACAUCCUAUGUAUUGAAUACGGCCAUGGAAGUUUAUGCAACUAUACGACUAUAUUAUUUUUACAAAAAUCUAAUUGCAUCCCUUUGGUAGCUGAACCCUCUACACAUUUUUCAAGGGAGAAUUACAAAAAAAAAAAAAAUCUUAAAAUUUAUUGCAAUUGUACCAAGUUAGUCAUAAACUUUUUUAUAAUUGUAAUAAUUCAGUCCAUCUGGCCGGCCAACGCAAGGAAGAAGAUAGAAAAAAAAAAGGAAAAGAUAAAAAAUUAAUAAAAAAUUCGAAAAAAUAAUUAAAAAAUCAUAAAAAUUGUCACGUCAGCGUCUGGCCACCAGCCGGCGUCCACGUUAGUGUCAGCCGGCCAAAAUUGGCCGGAUGGACUGAAUUGGUACCGAUAGUAAAAUGUUUAGGACUAAAUCGGUUCAAUUGAAAAGUUUAGGACUGAAUUGGUACCGAUGCAAUAUGUUUUGGACUUUUUUGGUACUUUUCCCUAUUUUAUUACAUAUGAAUGUUCUGAAGGCAACAAUAGAAGUGCCCCAUGUUGGGGAAGUGAACUUCCAGUGCACCCACCUGGAUCAUCUCGACGAGAACUGGCGGAUGAAGCAAGUCGGCGCCAUCAUCCAGUUGAGCGACUCUCCCCACAUCUUGGCCGGUGGCCUCAACUCUCUCGACGAGACCAAUUACUCGCAAGAUUGGUGGACCGACAUCGUCAAGGUAUGUACAUUUCUAUCAUGUUUGAUGUGAUAUUCGUUAGCACGUCAAACUCGAUUACUAAAUAGCUUAAGCUACGGCGAUUUUGUAAUCAUGGGCACCUGUGUUUGUUACAAAACUAUGAAGAGAUGGGAAAACCGACCCCAAAGGUUGAAGUCAUGAGGUUUCUGAAGAGCAAGCAAUUCACGGAUGCUAAGGACUUUGCCGGAGAAUGCGAGUCCGUGGUCGUCAUUGCCAAAGGACAAAGUAAGAACUCACUUGUUUGCUUUCCCAUGUUUCGAUUUUUCUUUUUCGCUUUGUCAAAUGGCUAAUCUAAGGUGCUUUUCGAGCACAAUGCUCCUUUCCUUUCGCUCUAAGAUAAGAUGAUUGGCUUGAAUGGACAUAAAUUCAUAACAUUUGAAGCAUGAUGAUCAUGUUGAAUAUGUACAUCCGUUGUUGUCAUCACUUUGUCGAUAUCAACCUCUGAUGUGAAAAUCCGUGGUAUAAAAAUUGAAGUCCAAAAUAUUUUUUUCGGGUGAUUACUGUCUGAACAUGUAAUUUGAAACUGUCUAUUCUAUUGUAGGUGUGCAAGGGACAUGCAAAUAUGAAACGAGGGUGGACUACAUACUAGCGUCAUCAGAUUGCCCAUACAAGUUCGUUCCAAGGUCAUAUUUGGUCCUGUCAUCGAAAGGGACAUCAGAUCACCACAUCAUAAAGGUCGACGUAACGAAAUGCAAAAACAACCCUCCCCAUGAAAGUAAUGGCAACGACAAUAAAAUUACCAAGAAAAGGCGACGACAGCGUAAGCACCAAGCCGUUGUAAAGAUCUCCGGCAUAGCUCCUCCUUCAAAGGGUAUAUGGACAGCGAACACAUUAAGCAAAGUCGAAUGACAUUAUGUCACGCCCCGAACCUCGAGCGUGCCAACAUCCCGCCAUGGUCAUUCAAAUGCGACGUUCCCAGGUUAAGUCGCCGACCCAAUCAAUUCUUUAAUGCACAUGCGGAAGCAUAUUAUAAAACCCCUGACAAUAAAAUAUGGGAUAGAAAAACAGGAAGCAAUUUCACAACAAUACACUUUCAUAAAUCAACGGAGUUACAAACGAAGGCCUAUAGCCAAAAGUCUCCAAAAGAUCGGCUCUUAAAAAGGAACUGUCCUAUAACCUACAAGUCGGACACGUUCUCUAAUCCUCCUUACUUCACCUCUGCAACUCCUCAAGGCCGGCCAACCAAAGCGAUCUGGUCGCUCCAUCCACAAGGGACCUGAAAAUGUUGGCCCACAAUGGGAUGAGACAUUGUCUUAGCAAGUUCAACCCCCUAAACCCCUAUUAGAAAAAAAAUACGCCCAAGAAUGGCCUAGCCACACCACAUAGAGGAUUUACUUCGCCUCAGUUCAUUCCUGUAGGUUAACACAAUUCAUAUCACUCAAUCACAUGUUCAUAUCACCAACCACAUGCAUGAAUACGAACUUAAACAACCAGAACGCCUUCGCUUUCAUAUAACUGACAACCACAGGGUCCUGAUUAUAAGACUAAAUCGUUAUGACACGUCCCAUUCCAUGCCACACAAUUCCGUCCCAUAAUCCGACACAUCAACAACACUCAACAUGCAUUCCAAUUGUUAUUCACUACCACACAAGGGCAUAGCCUACUCGCAGUUCAGCUAUCUACUGGCAUAUAGCUAGGCAUCACCUCCCCACCUUGGAGCGUAGCUUCGUCAGUAUGUCGAUGGCGUUCCCGAAGGAGCAUGGGCCCAGAAUCAACUGCGACCCGCAACCACUACGUGGGCAUCCCAUAUAGGGGCAAGUCUGGCUCAACAGCCUAGGAUGAUCUCCUCUUAAUUAUUACACAACAAUUCAUAUUCUGCCCGGGACACUUUGCAUUUCAUUCAAUGCUUUCACUUAAAAUAGUGAUCCCGGCCAUUUUUUUAAUAUUAAAAAUACUCCAGAAAUUAACCAUGUGUGUGGGGCAUGUUAAUUUCGAUCCAGAAAACCAAUAUCUCACUUUUUCAAACCCCACUAUUUAAUAUAAUAUUGAAAAUUCAAUUUUUGCAUUAAAAUCCGACACUUGGGUUUUUAUGAAUAAAAUCCCUAUUUAUCACAAUCAACACUCAAUUUGCCACAUCCAUUCAUCAAAUUCAAAUUCUAAAUGCACAGCAGCGAUUCGCACGAAAUUCUGACAAAAUAAGGUCUCGAAAUAAUUUUUGGAAUUUAUUAAAUAAUUAAAUUUAUUCCGAAAAUUAAUUAAAUAAUAAAUCCAUAUUUUUUACGAUCCACACUCAAUUUAUAAUAUCCAAUCAUCAAUUUCAAGAUCUGACUACAUAGUAGCGACCGGCGCGAAAUUCUGAGAAUUUAGGGUCUUGACAAAAUUUUCGGAAUUUAAUAAAUAAUUAAAUUUUAUUCCGAAAAUAAUUAAAUAAUAAUAUUUUAAUAAUUUCGAAUAAUAAUAUAUUAUUAAAUUAUUUAAUAAUUUCGAAAUAUUUAAAUAAAUCAAAAGUAAAUUCCUUUAUGUCAAAUCACCAUUAUACUAAUAUAAACUUCAAUUUAACCUUAAUUAAACAUACUUUAAAUUAAACUAACCUCUUAAUCUAAUUCACAAUUAAAUAAACUAAACUAACCACAUAAGCUUACUUAACUUAGACUAAGCAUAUUUAGGGCAUCAUUAACCCUCUAAUCAAGAUUUAGUGAGUUAAACUCACUCAAAUGACGAGCCAAGCGGACCAAAACGAUGGGGACGCCGAGGGGAACAACUUCCUUCAAAGCGGGCCAAGCAUCCGGGGUUGGGAAGCCAGCCAAAACGGGCCAAAAUCGGGCUGAGAAACCCACUAAAACUAGCUGCUAUCCAAGCUCGGGGGAGGACUGUCCGGCGGCGAUUCGGGCGCGGGGGUGGCAGAGAGAGGCGGCGGCAACUCGGGCGGUGGCUCACGGCGGCCUAGCAGGAUCUCCGGUGACGGCUAGCAGCUCGGGACAACGGAUGAUGGUUGUUGGCUCGCAGACGAAGCAGGGACGGGAGGGCAGAGCAACUCGCGCACGGGACGGCAGCGAGCGGGCGCGGUGCGCGGGCGACGACGACAGCACCGUCGACGGCGGCAACGAACAAGCGGACGGAGGGGUGGACGAAGGGGGCGUCAGGCUGCUGGUUCCGGUCGAAGUUCCCCCCUCUCUCUCCUCCAAAGUCCAAAGGAAGAAGAUGAUGUUGAUGGGUACUUUUUUAGGGCCAAUCUACACCAUCCACUUGUCCAAAUCUCCUUCAAUUUGGCCCAACCACCAUGACAUCACAUGAUGUCAUACUCCACUAUCCAAAUUCUUCCACAACCUUUCUCCAAUAGGUCCAAUUUCCUUUUCCGCCGAGGCAUGAAACCUUGUAUAUUAAUUUCUUUAAUUCCAUUCAAUUCUCUUCCAAUUGAGUCAAAUUGAAGUCCAUAAAUUAAUCCAAUGUCACCACACUUUAAUUCACACCCUCACUUGUCCAUAGAACCCUCUUAAGUCCCAAAAGCACGAUCAAGGGUGGGCCUACUAAUUUCUCGAGCCAAAAUAGCCAUUCUCUGAUUUAAUUGUUGAAAAAAUUCUGAUUACAUGAAAAAUCUUCCGAAGAUGAGUCAAUGAUCCUAAAAUGAUUUGUGACACACUAGGACUUCCAAUUUCUAAAUUCGAUAUUAAUUUCACGAUUAAUUUCACUUUGGCAUGAUACUAGCGCAUCCUGAUCUACCGGGUAGCCUUUAGAAAUUUUCAUGCAUUUAACCUGUGGUUGAUCAAUUCAAGCCACAAUGUACAUCUUUGAAACAUUUGCGACUUUCGGUUGUCGGGGUAAAAUCAAGGUUUCAAAUACGGACACAGGGUACCCAAUCGACAGAAAAGUCAGUCCAGUGCCGAUCAACAAGAAUUGUGCGAUCUGGUGGAAUCACCCACACCUGAUCACAUGCCUCUGUCGAGUCAACCUAUCUCCGGUCUCUAAUCGAUUUUUAAUUGUGCCGUAAUGACCCUUGCAGAUUAGCUCGGUCGAAAGGUCGCUUCCUGAUCAAAUUCUCGAGUCUGAUGCAUUAGAAUCUCUUAACGGCUUCACCUAAUAGACUAGUUUUCACAUGAGUGGCCGACCCAAGGAAAAUAACUAUAUGCGUACCAACGACAUGCCCAUCUCAAUUUAUUGAAAAUAGAAUUGGAAAAUCGGGAUGUCACACAUUACAUGUUGUUGCGAUGGGGCAAGCGAUCGAACAAAAUAUACACGGAAGAAGAAAAAUAAAUCGGACACCAGAUUUACGUGGUUCAGACGUAAAGACCUACGUCCACGGGGAGAGCAUCAGUGAAUUUCACUAUAGAUCAAGCGAUACAAGGAGAUUACACACUCGAGUCACUCAAACACUCUCUCGGUGUUUCCCAAGCCCCAAUUACACCCAAUAACGCACCCAGUGUUUAGCCCCGAAAUUCCUCGAAAAUAAUCUCUCAAUCUCACGAAGGAAUUACAUGCAAAUCUUACCUCAAGAUUUAAUCGACUACAAACACUAAACUUCUUGGAUGUAAUUGCACAAACGAAAAACAAUAAGCCCACUUUCAAGCACUCGAUAUUUGGUGCUUCAAGUUUGCUUGCAUCAACAACGGCGGAACAAGCACUCACGCGGCGCUUCAAGAUGUGGCUUCGCUGAAGAGAGUCCUAUGAGCAAAAGUUAUAUAUAUAUGACCGCCAGAGAAUUGCAUGCAUGGAAGAAAACCGAAUAAUCCAAGAUUCGGUCAACAAAGAAGAAAGAUUGACUUUCCUCUUUGGUUCCAAGCGGCAGAGUUGGAUGCUGCUUUCUUCGUAGCCUUAUUUUUUUCUCAUUUUUUUUUAAUUAUUUCAAAAUUCAACUUUUCGCUUGGGGCUUAAACUCGAGUCAUAAAUUUAACAAUCUCCACCUUGGCUCGACGUUUGAGCCAAAUUACAAUCGCUUCGUAAAAAUUCAAAUUCUGCCGCUACUUUCCCAUAGCCCUCGACGGGCUCAACUGCCACAGAUAUUAUCCAAGUCCAAGCCUCGCUUGAACUUUGCUAUAAUCGAGGACCUCAUCAUAAUACCAACUCCACAUGCACCUUUAACUGCUCGACAAGGAUUUUUCGACACAACCUCCUCAAUCACAGAUAAAGUAAAACCAUUAUUGCAUCUAUAUUUGUCAGGAGAUCAAAUACAUACCUUGUUAAUUUCAGCAGUUACAGCAACUGUUGGCUCUAUAGGCUCCACCUCACUAUGAGCACCAUCUGUGUUGAUUACUUUGCUAGUACUCGUACUCGCUACCUCAGGAGUUUUUGGUUGCAACUCCACCUCAAGCUGAACACCGUUCAGAUCUGUAUUAACACUGCCAUAAACACUCCUAGCUAGAACUAUCGAAGACUUCUCAAUAGUAAGUUCUCUACUAUCAACAGGUGAAUUUAUAUCCGGGCACCACAACUGAUCGCCCCACUCACCUUGUGCAUAGCCAUGGAAUAUGCACCUUGCCCUCCUAUCGAGCUUACCAUCACUCACUCGAAAAUAACACGGGCAACCAAAUAUUCUAAGAACAGAAUAAUCGGCAACAUUACUUGAUCACACUUCUUCAGGAGUCUGCCAUUCAAUAGUAGUUGAUGGGGAUCUAUUCACUAGGUAGCUUACCAUACUUAGCACAUCAGCUAGGAUUCUCCUAGCUAUACCAGCACUAGAGAUAAUUUUUCGGGCCAUCUCUAGUAAUGUUCUGCUCAUCAAUUCUGCAAAUUGUUGUGAUUUACUAGCACUAGUGUAGUGUUUCACUAUGCUCUCUUUCAUGCAGUCAGCUCCGAGCAAAACUCCAUGUUAUUGUCAGUCCGCACAUGCUUGAUCGACUUACCAGUCUCUGUCUCGAUCAAAGCUCUUGACUGCGAGAUCCUGACACCAGCAUCAAACUUGUGCCUUGGCACAAACACCCAAGUCUUCCUCGAGCAGUCAAAAGACUCUCGAACAGAUGCAUCCGACGUCUCCGCAGCGAAAUUUAUCACUGUCUCACCUCGAAGUUUAUACAGGCCAUCGUGCUUGAUUUCUUUCAUUAUCACCAGGGCACCUCGAACAACCUUCAGAAUUCCACCUUUUGAAGAAUAUUUGCAACUAGCUGAAUCUAGGGCACCCAAGGAAAUUAAAUUAUUUUUCAAUUCUGGAACAUGCCUCACUCCAGUCAAUGUCCUCACGAUACCAUCAUGCAUUCUGAUUUUAACAUCACCAACACCCACAACGUCGUACUCAGCAUUAUUCCCUAACUGGACUUUACCACUACCCGCGCACUGAUAAGUGAUAAACCAGUUUCUAUUUGGUGUGACAUGAAAAGAACAACCAGAAUCCAUAACCCAUCCAUCAAGUGAUGAAUCACUAGUGACAGACAAGACAUAAUCGGCAUUAUCUGCUACAGCUGCAACAUUAUCUGCAGAAUCAACUAUAAUUUCCUUACCAUUAUCAUUCUUCAGCUUAAGGCAAUCCCUUCUAAGAUGCCCUCUCUUGCCACAGCUCCAACAGACAACAUUAGCAGUCCUAGAUUGACUACGUCUGUUCAUAUUAGUACUACCAUUACCCAUGCGUGUUACAGAUCUUCCUCUAUUUCCACCUACUAGAGCAGUAGAUACAGAUUCGCCAGAUUCUUUUCUACGAAUAUCCUCGCUCAGAAUUAAAUCUUGAACCCCAUCAAACGUCAAACUUGUUGACCCAAAGGAAUUACUAACAACAGUAACGGUAGUAUUCCAACUAUCAGGCAAUGAAGAUAAUAGAAUCAAAGCACGUACCUCAUCUUCAAAAUCAAUCUCAACUGAACUCAAUUGACUAACAAUCACAUUGAAUUCAUUGGUAUGAUCUGCAACUAACGCACCUUCUUUCAUCUUCAAGUUAAACAGACGUCGCAUCAAACAGACCUUGUUGAUCGCAGAGGGCUUCUCGUACAUAUCCGACAAGGCUUGCAUCAAAUCAGCAGUGGUCUUCUCCUUCAGGAUAUUAAACGCGACGUUACGAGCCAACGUCAGCCGAAUAACACCCAUAGCUCGUCUAUCCAGCAAAUCCCAAUCAGCUUGCUUCAUCGUCUCUGGUUUCUCCUCAAAUAAAGGCAAGUGCAGAUUCAUCUGGUAAAGAUAAUCUUCAAUCUGCAUCUUCCAGAAACUAAAAUCAUUCCCAUCAAAUCUGUUGAUUCUCACUUUUACUUAUUCUGUCGCCAUCGAUUCGCUUCAACUUAGCCAAGCUUGGCUCUGAUACCACUUGUUGCAAUGGGGCAAGCGAUCGAACAAAAUAUACACGGAAGAAGAAAAAUAAAUCGGACACCAGAUUUACGUGGUUCAGUCGUAAAGACCUACGUCCACGGGAAGAACAGCGGUGAAUUUCACUAUAGAUCAAGCGAUACAAGGAGAUUACACACUCGAGUCACUCAAACACUCUCUCGGUGUUUCCCAAGCCCCAAUUACACCCAAUAACGCACCCAGUGUUUAGCCCCGAAAUUCCUCGAAAAUAAUCUCUCAAUCUCACGAAUGAAUUACAUGCAAAUCUUACCUCAAGAUUUAAUCGACUACAAACACUAAACUUCUUGGAUGUAAUUGCACGAAUGAAAAACAAUAAGCCCACUUUCAAGCACUCGAUAUUUGGUGCUUCAAGUUUGCUUGCAUCAACAACGGCGGAACAAGCACUCACGCGGCGCUUCAAGAUGUGGCUUCGCUAAAGAGAGUCCUAUGAGAUAUAUAUAUAUAUAUAUAUAUAUAUAUAUAUAUAUAUAUAUAUAUAUGAGACCGCCAGAGAAUUGCAUGCAUGGAAGAAAACCGAAUAAUCCAAGAUUCGGUCAACAAAGAAGAAAGAUUAACUUUCCUCUUUGGUUCCAAGCGGCAGAGUUGGAUGCUGCUUUCUUCGUAGCCUUUUUUUUUCUUAUUUUUUUUUAAUUAUUUCAAAAUUCAACUUUUCACUUGGGGCUUAAACUUGAGUCAUAAAUUUAACACAUGUAUAUCGCCCUUUUCUUUCCACUCUUUUCUUAGUUGCUUCUCCUAUUUUUGCCGUUGAGUGAUCUUAGGCAUGCUGGCUUCGUCAAUCUCUGUGUAAAUCUACGAUUGUUUUGUGCAUCUUGUCUUCUGUUUUUGUUUGUUUGUUUGUUUUGUUAUUUUUUUCUUUUCAGUUUAGAGUUGAAGAGGGGAGGGUUCUGGUGUGAUGGCUUCCUCACAUCUGUAUAGAUUUCGACAUGACAGAAGCGAAUUCUUACGUUUCAACUGGGCAUUGGAGCUGAGCGGUUCUGGCAAGUUCUUUUUCAGUAUUUUAUGCCUUUUCUUUUCGCUUGUAAUCUUAAUUGCAAGAUUCAGAUUAGUUUUGCCGGGGUGACAUCUCAAGUUGACUUUGCUGAGAUUGAGUUUAGAGAAUGCGAUCAUGUAUCUUUAAAUUUAACCGAAAAUUGAAAAGUUUUAGAUUAAAGUCCUUGGAAUAAAAUUGCAAAUUUCGAAAAUUGAAUUUUUUUUGUUAAGUUCGACAUUUGAGGGAUUUGAUAAAAGACCCAAAAGAUUUCAAAUGAAAUACCUUUAAAAAGCAAAUAAGGAAAAAAAAAAAAAGCUGUGAAAUCUGGUAAUUAUGAAUUCUAAACAUCCGUGACAGUAUUGCUCAAAAAAAAAAAAAAAAACAUCGGUGACAGUAGUCAAUGUUUUAAUUUUUUUUUCUCCGGUCUUGAAAUUAGCAUUGGAGAGAAGAAAAGUGGUAAGUUAGUGCAAUCUACUUCGACAUCUUAACAAAUACCUUCUGUGAUCUCUAAAUGGAGCCUUAAUGAGCAUUAUAAGUAAAAGUGUAAUGAAAAGAGAAAGAAAUAGAUUUUCUAUAUAAUAGACAUUGUUGGCUGAUGUAUCAUGCUAAUUAGCUUAUGAAUAAAAAACUGCCGCUCCCUUAUAAUGGUUAGCAAACUGCGCCCCUUGCAUUAGCAUAGUAGAGGAAGCAAGUAUCUCUCAGUUGGCGUAUACUCUUCAAUUGAUCCUCCUUGAUGUAAUUUAUAUGGAUUGAAUUAUUUAUUUCGAUUUUGCUUGGGAUCUCAAUUUAGAAAAUCAUGGGAUCUAAAGCUCAGAUAACAACAAGAGGAAUUAAAAAAAAAAAACAGUUAAGACAUUGCGUCAAUAUCGUUGACCGGUAAGAAUCCCAGUACUUGCGACCUUGCAGGUCUGCUACUCGGGACCUCACUAAUAUAUGACAUAAAAAUAAAAAUAAAUUUAAAAAUUUUUUUUAAAUUAAUCAUUAAUAUUUGAUAAUUCUGCCGUUUGUUUAAGGGCUAUGCUAGUAGGUCACAUGACACAUCCAAUGACGUUUUCACUGCACAUGUUCAUGUUUUUUUUUUUCUAUAGUGAUAUGGUCAGUUAUUAAAAUGUUGUAUUUUUUUCCCUUUUUGUUGCGAAUUUCCCUUCUAUAAAUCAUGAACACGAACACGAGCACAAAAUUUUUUCGUCGAAAUAAUUGGUCUAUUCAACACCUGCUGAUACAUUUAAUUGUUUUCUAUAUCAUGAAUAAAUUAUUAAGUGAUGAUUGGACAAAUCAUUAAAUAGAAAAAUCUCUUGACAAAAAGUAUCCUAGAUUAUCUCAAGCGAAGAUCUAGACAUACAUUAUUGUAUUUUAGGGUACAAGAUUGGCUGUCUCUUUGUCACUGAUUUUGUAAGUGUCCUAUUGCCUUUGGAUGGUAAUUCUUUUUGUAACUGUUCGACUUUAAAGUCGGCAAUGACCAGGAGUAACCAUCUUUGAUCAAGCCCUCUUAAGUGAACACUUAAAAAGAAUUAGUCUCUUAAUCACUGGAAUUGUGUUAAAUCAAAGGUAUUGUUUGUAGAUAUCAUGAAUAAUGGAAAAUUUUCCAAAAAUGUCCUAAAUCUAUUGCACUUUAGCCAAUUAAGUCAUAAAAUUUUUAAUUACGUCAAUUGAAUCCUAAACCUUUUCACAUUUUGCCAACUAAGUUUAUUGGGCCAAUUUUAAGAAAAAACCACUGAUGUGAACACCGGCCAUCUUAUGUAGGAUGAUAGAUACUAAUGUUGGCAAAUUCUUAUAAUUUUUUUAAAAAAUGGAUUUUUUUUUUUAUUUUUUUUUAUUUUACCAUGGCUUGUGAGAGUCGUCAGGUCCUAGCAGCUACUAGCGAAGACUCAGUGACCCUCGCCGGACAUGGCAAAAAAAAGUAAAGGAGGAAAAGAGAAGAAAAUAAAUAAGGUUCGUAAUGGUCAUGAGUAAACGGUCAGGAUGAGCAACGAUAUUAAAAAGCACUCGUGUAGUUCUUCGCCCGUUAGUAUGCUAAACAUGGAAAAUGUCGAAUCAACAUCAAUUUAACACUGUCUUUACUCGAAUAGCUACAGAACUAUGUAAGAAAACACAAGGAACAAGAAGAGAAUCCUGAAGCUCUAGACACGGCAUGACCAUGAAAAAUCCACCGAGAGCUGGUUUUUGUCCUCGGAGUAGAUGUGAAAAAUGUGGCAGAAUUAAAGAAUAAGCAGAGAUUCUUCGUAUCUAGCACUGUAAGCUUGCUCGAUGUAGAGUGAAACAAAGGGACAUUGCAUAGAAUUUGUACCUAUAUGAAGUUCACGAUGGCCGGGAGCAAUCCGCGCCCCAUGACCUCAACUUAAGUGCAUCACCGUAUCAAUAAUCAGUUCUUCCACAAGUGGAAUUGAUACGCAAUUUAUGCCCGAAUUGUCCUCUAUUCACCUUUCACUUGGGGACGGUUUUCCAUGAAUCUCUUCCAGCUCCUCGAGCCUGUUAUUGAGGGCUCUUCUAAGUGAGGCCAUCUGUAUAUGAUCGUUUGCUUCUGGAAAUCGGUUUAUGGAGACCUUGAAGUUCAGCCUAUGAAUUUUGCUGUACACUAGACGGGUCCUGUUGCCGUACUGCGAACACUUAUGUGAGGUUUCAAAUGUUCUCGCCUUCCUCUCAUGGUGCAGCAGAGCAACAAAUGUCAAAGGAAUUGGAAGAGACAGUUCCACAGCCUCCUGUCACAAUGAAUGGUCUUUCUCAUCAGGAUGAUUCUCCAAUGAGCGUGAUGAACUGCAGGAAUAAGUAAGAAACUCGAUUCUUGAGAUGUUUCUGUCUCAUAUCGUUUACUUUUUCUCCAUUGCGUCGAACAUAGUACCUACUCUAGUGAUUAGCUUAACUUUUCAUUUCAAUCUGAAAGCUACUUACCUACAUUUAUAGGAUUCUUAAUAUAAAUUACCGGCUUGUGCACACUAUCUUACUUGGCGAAUUCUGUCAUCUGCACUAGUUUAAAUACAUGCAUCAUUCGAGAGCGCAAGUGCCUUUGAUGGCUUAUGGCCUGAGGCAUGGCGUAAUUGUUUUUUUGCCUCGUCAAAGUGUUGCUUCAGAGGACCUGAAUAUUCUUUUGAAAGUGAUGCUUCAGAGGACCGGAAUAUUCUUUUGAUAGGAAUCGUCUGUUUAGAUGAUCAUAAUUGCUAUCAUUGGUAGAACACACUACCAAUAACAACAUGAUAGUCGCUGUGUGCAUUCUAGUCGAACAACGUAGUUUCAACUUUGGGUUGCGAUGCUAACUGUGCUCGCACUUGUGGUUCUAAAAUGUUGAUGAACAGAGCUGAAUCUGACAAGCUACUAGCCAUUCCUGUCGGUUUUGUUGGAUCAGAAGAGGUGGUAAGGUCUGCUCCACAUCUUGUACCUGGCGGUAAGCUUGCUUGUCCUUCAGUGGAAGAACAAGGAAUGAGAAUAAAUGCUGCAUUAGACACUGCACAUGCACCAAUUUCUCAUCUCUCGAACCUCAUUGCCAACGGUCACCGGGCUGCAAACUUCAGGGGACCUUUCCAACCAUCAGACUUUUAAGGCUCGAAGUUUGAGCCACUUGGAUUCAUACCCUAUCCCUUACUUUCUCUGAAGGUAUUUAUGAUAUUUAACACUUAGCUCGACAUUCUGCGUUGUCGAUUGUACUUGGUUUGGACUACCUACUGGUGAAUCUCUUCAUGUAAAGGUUUGGGUUGGAAUAUUACUUGUCAGCAUAGUUUCAUAGACACGGUAAUUCUGUUCUUUUACCCAUCAGUGCAUUCGACUCGUGGUGCAACAAAUCUGAAAAAAGCUUUUAAUAUGCUAUUCGAGAGUCAGCUUUCAGCAGUGAUCUUGAACAAUUUCGUGUUCUCCAAACCGAGACUUGUUUAGAGUCAUUGAAAGCCUUCAAUUUAUGACGUUGUACUAGGAAGGUCCUUUCUGCUUUAUAUGUUUCUAGAUACUUUAAAAACCAUCUAAAGUAAUUGAAAAGACCAUGCGCAAAAAGUUAAUUGCUGUUGUACUUGGCGAGGUGACCCAACUUCUCUAUGUAUUCUUACUCCUGAAGAAUGGCGUUGUUUGUAGCUUCCAUUCAGGAGUACCUUGCUAAUUCGGCAUCAGGUCAAGUGUCACGCCCCGAACCCCGAGAUACGUGAACAACCCGCCAUGGCAAUGUAAAUGCGACAUUCCCAGAUAGUGUCGCCGACCCCAUUCAAUUAUUAUGCGCAUGCUGAACGUACUAAGAAACCUCUGACAAAACUUACGGGAUAGGACAGCAGGAAAAAUCAAUUCAAAAACAAACCAACAUACUUUCAUAUAUCAUCUUUCCAGAGUUUACAUACACCAACAGGAUCAGAGACUAUAUGCACCAAAAAUGGGUCAAAGUUCAUGUGCAUCAAAAAGGGUCAAUCUGCACAACAGGGAUCGGUCCACCAAAAAGAGGGACGGCCCUAUGACUACUAGUCGGACUCGUUCGUCGAUCCCACAUCUUCCACAUCUGACUGCACUGGGUCCAGGGACGAUGGUUGUCCACCCUACAUUAGAAAGGUCAGCUACACCUUCACCCAAAUAGCAUCCACCACAACAAGUGGAAUAUCAAAAAUUAACACGAAGAAAAAAGUACAGCGUUAAGCCAAGAGGAUUCACACGAAACUCCAAUUAUCAUGAAUGCCAAACGACAUCCAUUGUCAUUUAUAGCAUAUGGACCUAAGAAUUUUAAACGAAAACACCANNNNNNNNNNNNNNNNNNNNNNNNNNNNNNNNNNNNNNNNNNNNNNNNNNNNNNNNNNNNNNNNNNNNNNNNNNNNNNNNNNNNNNNNNNNNNNNNNNNNNNNNNNNNNNNNNNNNNNNNNNNNNNNNNNNNNNNNNNNNNNNNNNNNNNNNNNNNNNNNNNNNNNNNNNNNNNNNNNNNNNNNNNNNNNNNNNNNNNNNNNNNNNNNNNNNNNNNNNNNNNNNNNNNNNNNNNNNNNNNNNNNNNNNNNNNNNNNNNNNNNNNNNNNNNNNNNNNNNNNNNNNNNNNNNNNNNNNUACGGACCUGUAAUAUUUUCCCCACAACGGGGGGGAGACCAUUAUCUCAGUAAGUUCACCCUCUGAAACCCCUAUUAGAAAGAAAAAUACGCCCAAGAGUGGGUCUACCCACACAUCAUAAAAGACUUAUCUCGUCUUAUUUCCUUCCAUGCAGGUUAGUACAGUUCAUAUCACUUAAUCACAGCUAGUAAUAAGAACUUAAAUCAUUGAAAUGCAAUCAAUUUCACAUAAUGCACAAUCACAGCAAGAGUUCCAAAUCAUUAUUCACCGCCACACAAGGGCAUAGCCAACUUGCAGUUUAACUAUCUACUGACAUUAAUGCCCAGGCAUCGCCUCCCCCCUUGGACCGCGGCUUCAUCACCACAUUGACGGCAUUCCCGAAGGAGCAUGGGUCCCAGUUGGCCUAGCCUCUACUGCGACCCGAGCCACGUCACUCUGUUAACGGCGUUUCUAGAAGAAUAAAGGUCCAGUUGGCCUAGUCACUACUACGACCGAGUCUUUUAACCAGCACACGACAAUUCAAUACUAAUCCCUGGAUACUUCACAUUUCACUCACAUACUCCAAUUACAAUAUUAACCCUUAAAAAUCCAAUUUCGGUGCCAAACCUGACACUUGAGAUUUUCUGAAUAAAAUCCCUAUUUUUUUUCACAAUCAACACUCAAUUUGUGUUAUCCGCUCAUUAAAUUCAAAUUCUAAAUACACAACAGCGAUCAGCACGAAAUUCUGAGCAAUUGAUGUCAAAAAUAAUUUUUCGAAUUUUUUUAAAUAAUAAUAUUUUAAUAAUUUUCAGAAUAUAAUAUAUUAUUAAAUAAUCCAAUAAUUUUGAAGCAUUUAUUUAAAUCAGAAAUAAAUUCCUUUAAGUCACAUCAAGGCUUAUAUUAAAAUAAACAUACUUAACUUUAAACUAAACACACUUUAACUUAAUUAAACACUUUAAUCUAAUCCACAACUAAAUAAACUAAUCUAACCACCUAAUCUCAAUCAACAUAAGCUAAACACGCUUAAGGCAUCAUUAACCCUUUAAUCAAGAUUUAGUGAGCUAAACUCACAGAAAUCGCUUUCCGACGAGUCCCCGGCGAAGAGCACGAUGAUGUUGACGACAAAUCUACACGGAGCAACACUAAAUGAGGACCGGAAGGCACCCAAAACGGCCCUCAAAGAUCCGGACUCGAGCUGGAACUCCGGUUGCUGUUUGGGGUCGGAUGGAGGCGGCUUGGCGGUCGGUUAGGCGCGAAACCGGCGGAGAGGGGCUGCGGCAGCUCGGGCAACGACCGGCGGUGGCUCGGGCGGUCUUGGCUAGCUCCGACAGUGGUUGGCGAACGGUGAGCAGCGGCUGGUGGCUUCGGACGACAACGCUGGACGGAGGACGAAGGCGGAACAGCUUGCACGCGGGACAGCGCGCGCGCGGUCGUGCGCGGAUGAGUGGCGACGGUGAACUCCGGCAACGAAUGGCUAGCGGUAACGAGCGAGAGGGCGAAGGGCAGUCGGCUAGCCUGGUCCGGUCGCUCUCUCUCCCCCCCCCCCCCAACUCGUUGAUUUCUGGAGUUUUAAUUAGCCUUGAUACGGUGAUGGGGAGAUGUAUGCGAGGAGACGUGAGAAAGAUGUUCAGUACCAGUUUCUAAAUAUGAAAAAUGGAUUCUUGCUAAGGUGGAAGCUCCACUACCUGUGAUGAANNNNNNNNNNNNNNNNNNNNNNNNNNNNNNNNNNNNNNNNNNNNNNNNNNNNNNNNNNNNNNNNNNNNNNNNNNNNNNNNNNNNNNNNNNNNNNNNNNNNCACAUUUGCACCCUCCAUAUGUCACCACCCUAGCCAAUCUUGCCCCACGCCAUGACAUCACUUGUGAUGUCACAAUCCACUAACUCCAACCUCCCACAACCUUAGUCCAAUAGAUUCAAUUUCAUUUUCCGCCAGGGCAUAGAAUCUUGUAUAACAACUUCUUCAAUUCCGCUUGAUUCUCUUCCAAUUUAAUCAAAUUGAAGUCCAUAAAAUUAAUCCAAUGUUCCUAAUAAGAUUUGUGACACACCAUGACUUCCAAUUUCAGAAUUCGAUCUCACUUUCACGGUUAAUUUCAUUUUGGCACGAUACUAGCGCGUCUUAGUCUAUUGGGCAGCUUUUAGAAAUUUUAAUGCAUUUGACCUGUAGUUGAUCAAUUCAAGCCGCAAUGUACAUCUUUGACACAUUGAUGACUUUCAGUUGUCGGGGUAAUCUCAAGGUUUCAAAUAUGGGCACAGAGUACCAAAUCGACAGAAAAGUCGGUCUAAUGCCGAUUGACAAGAAUUGUGUGAUCUGGUGGAAUCACCCACACUUGAUCACAUGCCUCUGUCGAGUCAACCUAUCUCCAGUCUCUAAUCGAUUUUUAUUUGUGCCGUAAUGACCCUUGCAGAUUAGCUCGGUCGAAAGGUCGCUUCUUGGUCAAAUUCUCGAGUUUGAUGCAUUAGAAUCUCUUAACGGCUUCACCUGAUAAAUUAGUUUUCACAUGAGUGGCCAACUCAAGGAAAAGAACUAUUUGCGUGCCAACGAAAUGCCUGUCUCAAUUAUUGAAAAUAGGAUUGAAAAAUCAGGAUGGCACAACUCUUCUCCUCUUAUAAAAAUUUCGUUCUCGAAAUUUAAACCAUUACACUUCUUAAGCAAAAAGGUGGGGGUACAAUUGUCUCAUCGAAUCUUCGAUUUCCCAAGUUGCUCCUUCAGUAUCGUGGUGUUGCUAGACCACUUGACCAACGGGAUGGUCUUGGUGCGCAGAACCUGCUCCUUGCGAUCGACGAUCUGAAUCGGGCUUUCAACGUACGACACCUUGUCGUUCACAUCUAAUUCCUCAAAAUUUAGAACGUGUGUCGGAUCAGGUUCAUACUUCCUUAACAUCGACACGUGAAAGACAUCAUGCACUUGUGCUAACCUCGGCGGUAGUGCAAGACGAUACGCUAGAGUCCCUAUUCUUUCCAAAAUCUCAAAGGGACCUACGUACCUCAGACUCAGUUUCCCCUUUUUGCCAAAGCGGGAAGUACCUCUCAUUGGUGACACCUUCAAAAAGACAUGCUCACCAACUUAGAACUCCAAUGGCCUUCGACGCUUAUCUGCAUAACUCUUUUGGCGGCUCUGAGCAGUCUUUAAUCUGUUUCUGAUAACUGCAACUGCCUCCACUGAAUGCUGAACCAACUCUGGACCGGUGAUCUUUCUUUCCCCGACUUCAUCCAAACAUACUGGCGUUCUGCACGCUCUGCCAUACAACGCUUCAAAAAGGGUCAUUUGAAUACUCUGCUGAUAACUGUUGUUGUAGGCAAACUCGACUAGAUGAAGCUGUUCCUCCCAGCUUCCUUUGAAGUCCAAGACGCAAGCUCGCAGCAUGUCUUCGAGAGUCUGAAUUGUCCUCUCAGAUUGGCCAUCAGUCUGCGGAUGAUAGGCCGUACUAUACUGUAGCUUCGUUCCUAAAGCGGAUGGCAAGCUCUUCCAAAAAACGGCGGUGAACCUCGGGUCCCUAUCUGACGUAAUCGUGACCGAGACCCCAUGCAUAUGAACCACCUAACGUAGAUACAGAUCUGCGAGUCUAUCCAAACUCAAGUCCUUUCGCACUGCCAUGAAGUGAACCGACUUUGUCAGUCUGUCAACUACUACCCAAAUCGAAUCAUUUCCUCUCUGGCUCCUUGGUAGUCCCGUCACGAAGUCCAUCGUGAUAUGCUCCCAUUUCCAUUAUAGGAUCUCAAGGGGUUGCAGAAGUCCUCCCGGUUUGCAUUGCUGAGCCUUCACCUGCUGACACGUCAAACACUUGGUGACAUGCUUGGCGAUGUCCGCCUUCAUGCCACACCACCAGUAAUGUUGACGUAGAUUUUGAUACAUCUUGGUACUACCAGGAUGAAUGCUGUAACUGCUACGAUGUGCUUCUGAUAAAAUCUCCUCUCUAAGCUUCACAUCGUUAGGUACAACCAAUCGUCCUUGGAACCUCAAUGUUCCAUCCUUAGAAAUCUGAAAGUCAGCUUUCUUUUUCUCUGCAUCCUCUUGCAGGAUUUUCUGAACAUUUGAAUCUAUCUGCUGAAGUGUUCUGAUUCUAACCUGCACUUCCGACUCAAUUCUAAGGGUGGCCAUAAGACUCGAAAUGUGGCCUACCUCACAUUUGAAAUCUGAAUCUCGUGCUCUCUCAAUUAGACCCCAUUCUUUGAGUACCAUUUGAGCAACUGAAGACUUCCUACUCAGUGCAUCAGCGACCUUGUUCGCCUUUCCGAGGUGAUACAAAAUCUCACAGUCAUAGUCCUUUAAGAGCUCUAUCCAUUGACGUUGUCUCAUAUUCAACUCCUUCUGAGAGAAUAAGUACUUGAGGCUCUGAUGGUCAGUGAAAAUCUGGAAUCUUUCUCCGCACAAAUAAUGCCUUAAAAUCUUCAGGGCAAAGAUGAUCGCUGCAAGCUCUAAGUCAUGCGUCGGAUAAUUCAACUCGUGAGGUCUCAACUAACGGGACGCAUAUGCAACUACCCUACCAUGCUGCAUCAAUACGCAACCCAAUCCUUUAAACGACGCAUCACUGUAGAUCUCAAACCCUCCUGGACCCGAUGGAAUAGGAAGCACAGGUGCGGUAGUUACUUGAAACUACUCUCGCACUUAUCUGACCACACAAACUUUUUUUCCUUCUUCAGUAGUCUCGUCAUCGGCGAUGCUAACACUGAAAACCCUUCUACAAACCGUCUGUAAUACCCUGCUAAACCCAGAAAACUUCUGAUCUCUGUUACUGUCGACGGUCUCGGCCAGUUGAUCACUACUUCAAUCUUGGCUGGGUCCACUGAGAUUCUUUCUCCAGAGAUGACAUGACCUAGGAAAGCCACACGAGUUAGCCAAAACUUGCACUUACUGAACUUGGCGUAUAGCUCGUGAUCUCUCAAAGUCUGAAGCACUAUCCUUGAAUGCCUUUCAUGAUCCUCAGUACUCCUUGAAUACACCAGGAUGUCGUCAAUGAAAACAAUUACGAACUGAUCCAAGUACUCUCUGAAUACGCAGUUCAUCAGAUCCAUGAAAGCAGCUGGGGCGUUCGUCAACCCAAAUGGCAUCACAGUAAACUCAUAAUGGCUCGAGUGCGAAACGCCGACUUCGAUAUGUCUUCCUUCUUGAUUCUUAGCUGAUGGUACCUUGUCCUCAAGUCGAUCUUAGAAAAUAUCGACGCUCCCUGAAGCUGAUCAAACAAGUCAUCGAUCCUCGACAAUGGAUACUUGUUUUUGAUCGCCACCUAAUUGAAUUGACGAUAGUCGAUGCACAAGCGCAAUGAGCCAUCCUUCUUCUUCACGAACAGAAUUGGUGCUCCCCAAUGUGAUGCACUAGGACGAAUAAAUCAUUUAUCCAACAACUCUUGCAUCUGUACCUUCAGUUCCUUAAGUUCUGACAAGGCCAUCCAGUAAAGAGCUUUAGAGAUUGGCUUGGUCCCGGGGGCUAACUCAAUCACGAACUCUAUCUCUCUCUCUGGCGGCAAACCUGGUAAUUCUUUCGGGAACACGUAUGGGAACUCUUGCACCAUUGCAAUAUCUUCAAUCUUCAACUCCUCCACUAUCGUGUCCACGACAGUCGCCAAGUAACCUUGGCAACCCUUGCCUAGCAAGCGAGUUGCUUCGAGUGAUGAGAUUAAGGAAACCGAGGGUCCUCCUUGACUCCUAAUAAAUUCGAAACUCUCACCCCCUAAUGGGUUAAACUGAAUCGCUUGGUGAGCCAGUCCAUGCCAAUUAUCACAUCAAAAUCAAACAUGGCUAGGACUAUCAAGUCUAUCCUCCCUUCUCGCUCACUAAUCAGUAACUUGCAACUAAGACAACCCACUGUAGCUAACACCUUAUGCUUCAACGGAGUAGAUAUGCUAAUCACAGACUCCAACAACUCAGGAAUUAAUUCUACCAACUUAACAUAUCUUUCAUCUAUAAAUGAAUGAGAAGCUCCAGGAUCAAAUAAAGCAUAAGCAGGUUGGUCGUUCAGUAAGACCAUACCUGUGAUCACAUUAGGCGCAUCCUCCGCCUGUCCUCUGGUGAUCGCAUAAGUCCUUCCUUGAGUUGGAGGUUGGUUCAAUCCACCAUGCGGCAUGAUCUGCGGCGCGAUUCCUCUAUUCUGACCCAACGAUGGCGGCGGCGGCAAUUGACGCUAUCCCAUCUGUUUCCUGAGGCAAUUCCUGGCUAUAUGACCCUGCUGGCCACACUCAUAACAGGCGCCCGUCCUAGGAGGACACGGGGCUGAACCAUGUCGUCUUCCAUAUAGACGACACACACCAUUUGGUCUCGGCGCUGGCUUUCCUGUCUCACCCUUCCUGUUGAGUGGAACAUGAUAUCUUCCUCCAGACAUCGAUCUCUUCCCAAACCGGUUACCUUCUCUAUUCGAAUUAAACUGCGACCCAGAUGUGGCAGCUCUCUAAUUCUAGUCUUUCUCAAUCAGCUGGGCCCGAUUAUAAAGGUCCUUGUACUCCUUUAGCUCUAAUGGUACCAACAAGCUCCUCACAUCAGGUCAGAACCCAUCUCUAAACCUUCGAGCUCGGUUUGACGGUCUUUGAACUAACUCGGGGGCAUACCGUGAUAGUUCAACGAACUUCACUUCAUACUGAUCGACUGUCAUUGUACCUUGACGAAGGCACUGAAACUCCACCAUCUUCACCUCUCUAGCACAAUCAGAAAAGUACUUCUCAUUGAAGACCUCAAGAAAAGCAUUCCACUCCGGAACUACACUUUCAGGGAACACUAUCCCUUUAUUAGUCUUCUGCCAUGUAGCUACGAUCCCCCUCAACUGAUAGGCUGCCAAAACGACAUUCUCUGCUUCAGUGCACAUUAGUAACUCAAAGGCAUUCUCUAACUCCUGAAUCCAUAGUGCUGUAGCUUCGGGAUCUCCUGCUCCCGUGAACGUCGGUGGAUUCAACCUCAUAAAAUAUUCUACCAACUUAUGCUUAGGCCUCCCAGCGGCCACAUUCUCAGGUGGAAUUUCAACAGGUUCCACUUAAGGUUCGACGAUCAGUACGGUGGCAGCAGGUGCGGCGGCAGGGGCGGCGGUAACUGCAACGGUAGCAGCAUUGGCGGCAUUAGCAGCAUUGGUGGUAGUGGCGGUAGCGACUGAAGCGGCGGCUUGCUGGUCCAAUCUGUCACCCAUCAACUCAAGCAUUUGCAUGAUUCCAACAAACCUCGGAUCCUCGGGGGCUACUGCAUCGUCUAUAGGCGAUCCUGCACCACUCGCACUGGCCUUAGCCUGUGCUUUUCCUAGGGCACCUCGGGCACCGACCCUCAUCGGUGACCCACCCCGACUGCUCUCUUCCUAACAGCUCUCGGCACUCGGUCACUCAAGCUACAUGCUCAAUAUAGAUGCCUAAUUGCAAAUUCCAAUACCACAUUAGAAUCUGAGUGACCUCACAAACAAGUUAACAAAUAGCUAACAAUCACUUGCAUCAGUAUAAUAAAAGCCUUUCCUACCAACUAUCCCAUGACUCCCACACACCUUAUUACUCUAUACAUGAACCAUGCUUUGAUACCACUUAAACGGGGUUGUCACGCCCCGAACCCUGAGACACAUGAACAACCCGCCAUGGUCAUGUAAAUGCAACAUUCCCAGGUAGUGUCGCCGACCCCAUUCAAUUAUUAUGCGCAUGCGGAACGUACUAAGAAACCCCUGACAAAACUUACAGGAUAAGACAGCAGGAAAAAUCAAUUCAAAAACAAACCAACAUACUUUCAUAUAUCAUCAUUCUAGAGUUUACAUACAACAACAGGAUCAGAGACUAUAUGCACCAAAAAUGGGUCAGAGUUCAUGUGCAUCAAAAAGGGUCAAUCUGCACAAUAGAGAUCAGUCCACCAAAAAGAGGAACGCCCUAUGACUACUAGUCGGACUCGUUCGUCGAUCCCACAUCUUCCACAUCUGAUUGCACUGGGUCCGGGGACGAUGGGUUGUCCACCCUACCAUCAGAAAUGUUAGCUACACCUUCACCUAAAAUAGUAUCCACCACAGCAAGUGGAAUUUCAAAACUAUAGAGUGGACCAAUCCUAAAGCCAUUAGCCCCAAAACGGAACCAUGCCUUAAACCUAUGCGGUACCUUGACAUCCUCAGUCUCCUGAAUUCAGACGGUGGUCCUGAUCAGCUCGUAAACCCAAUGGCUCCCAGGGUCAGGAAAACUGUGCACCUCCUCGACAAUAUGCACUAGGAUGCCAUUCUUCUCCGGAGGUCCUGCCAUCUACGGCCCUGUAAUAUUUUUCCCACAACGGGGUGAGACAUUGUCUCAACAAGUUCACCCCUCCUAAACCCCUAUUAAAAAGAAAAUACGCCCAAGAGUGGUCUAGCCACACAGCAAUAAAGACUUACCUCAACUUAUUUCCUUCCUGCAGGUUAGUACAAUUCAUAUCACUCAAUCACAUGUAGUAAUAAGAACUUAAAUCAUUGAAACACAAUCAAUUUCACAUAAUGCACAAUCACAGCAAGCGUUCCAAAUCAUUAUUCACUGCCACACAAUGGCAUAGCCAACUUGCAAUUCGACUAUCUACUGACAUUAAUGCUAGGCAUCGCCUCCCCCCUUGGAGCGCGGCUUCGUCACCACGUCAACGGCAUUCUCGAAGGAGCAUGGGUCUAGUUGGCCUAGCCUCUACUGCGACCCGAGCCACGUCACUCUGUUGACGGCGUUUCUAGAAGAAUAAAAGUCCAAUUGGCUUAGCCAUUACUGCGACCGAGUCUUUCAACCAGCACACGACAAUUCAAUACUAAUCUCUGGAUACUUUACAUUUCACUCACAUACUCCAAUUACAAUAUUAACCCUUAAAAAUCCAAUUUCGGUGCCAAACCUGACACUUGAGAUUUUCUGAAUAAAAUCCCUAUUUUUUUCACAAUCAACACUCAAUUUGCGUUAUCCGCUCAUUAAAUUCAAAUUCUAAAUACACAACAGCGAUCAGCACGAAAUUCUGAGCAAUUGAUGUCAAAAAUAAUUUUUCGAAUUUUUUAAAUAAUAAUAUUUUAAUAAUUUUCAGAAUAUAAUAUAUUAUUAAAUAAUCCAAUAAUUUCGAAGCAUUUAUUUAAAUCAGAAAUAAAUUCCUUUAAGUCACAUCAAGGCUUAUAUUAAAAUAAACCUACUUAACUUUAAACUAAACAUACUUUAACUUAAUUAAACACCUUAAUUUAAUCCACAACUAAAUAAACUAAUCUAACCACCUAAUCUCAAUCAACCUAAGCUAAACACACUUAAGGCAUCAUUAACCCUCUAAUCAAGAUUUAGUGAGCUAAACUCACCGGAAUCGCUUUCCGACGAGUCCUUGGCAAAGAGCACGACGAUGCCAACGACAAAUCUACACAGAGCAACACCAAAUGAGGACCGGAAGGCACCCAAAACGGCCCUCAAAGAUCCGGACUCAAGCUAGAACUCUGGCUACUGUUUGGGGUCGGAUGAAGGCGGCUUGGUGGUUGGUUGGGCGCGAAACCAGCGGAGAGGGGCUACGGCAGCUCGGGCAACGACCGGUGGUGGCUCGGGCGGUCUUGGCUAGCUCCGACGGUGGCUGGCAAAUGGCGAGAAGUAGCUGGUGGCUUCGGACGACAACGCUGGACGGAGGACGAAGGCGGAGCAGCUUGCACGCGGGACAGCGCGCUCGCGGUUGUGCGCGAAUGAGCAGCGAUGGUGAACUCCGGUGGCGAACGGCAAGCGGCAACGAGCGAGCGAGCGAAGGGCGAUCGGCUAGCCUAGUCCGGUCGCUCUCUCUCUCUCUCCUCCCCCCCCCCCCCCCAAAUUUCAAAUUCCAAGGCCCCUUGAAGAAAAUGAUGGAGACAAGGGGGAAGUGACAUCCCACCUUUUUGUGAUUCAAUCUCCACCCACCACGUGUCACCACCCUAGCCAAUGUUGCCCCACCCCAUGACAUCACUUGUGAUGUUACAAUCCACUAACUCCAACGUUCCACAACCUUAGUCCAAUAGGUUCAAUUUCAUUUUCUGUCGGGGCAUAGAAUCUUGUACAACAACUUCUUCAAUUCCACUUGAUUCUUUUCCAAUUGAAUCAAAUUGAAGUCCAUAAAAUUAAUCCAAUGUUCCUAAUAAGAUUUGUGACACACCAUGACCUCCAAUUUUAGAAUUCGAUCUCAAUUUCAUGGUUAAUUUCACUUUAGCACGGUACUAGCGCGUCCUGGUCUACCGAGCAGCUUUUAGAAAUUUGCAUGCAUUUGACCUGUGGUUGAUCAAUUCAAGCCACAAUGUACAUCUUUGACACAUUGGCAACUUUCGGUUAUCGGGGUAAUCUCAAGGUUUCAAAUACGGGCACAGGAUACCCAAUCGACAGAAAAGUCGGUCCAAUGCCGAUCGACAAGAAUUGUGCGAUCUGGUGGAAUCACCCACACCUGAUCACAUGUCUCUGUUGAGUUGACCUAUCUCCGGUCUCUAAUUGAUUUUUAUUUGUGUUGUAAUAACCCUUGCAGAUUAGCUCGGUCGAAAGGUCGUUUCCUGGUCAAAUUCUCGAGUCUGAUGCAUUAGAAUCUUUUAACGGCUUCACCUGAUAGACUAGUUUUCACAUGAGUGGCCGACUCGAGGAAAAGAAUUAUAUGCGUGCCAACAAAAUGCUUGUCUCAAUUAUUGAAAAUAGAAUUGGAAAAUCGGGAUGUCACAUCAAGGUUCACUGUCUGCAAUAUCUUAGUGAAGUGGAUAUCAGGCGUUCCAUAUCACAUCGGUGUCUGGAGGAAUGUUUGCUAAGCAAGAAAACUCAUGUGCAGGGGACAACGGUGAGGAAUAUAGUACUUGUUUGGAAGAAUGUAAGGCACCAUCUCAUGACUUAUCAUCCAGUGAAUGCACAAAUUCUUACUCAUUGAGAUAUUGUGCUCUUGUAAUACAUCACAUCCUCUAACAUGACAUCACGUGUUCAAUUUCUAUUCAUCGUAAAGGCAAAAAUUGAUAGCCACUCUGUCUAUCCUCUUUGACGUGCGCCAAUCGUUCAUCGGGUAGAUUAGGACCCAUCUAGAAACAAGAGGUCGAAGUCAGAGAUUGCUUGAGCAAGUAGCUGAUGUCAAGCUGGGGUUGAAGGGUGGGGGUGAGAGCUUUUGAUGGAAACGAGAGAGAUUCGUUGCUCAAAAUGCAAACAUUAACAUGAAGAAAAAAUUACAUUGUUAUGCCAAGAGGAUUCACACAAAACAAAAAUUAUAAUGAAUGCCAUACGACAUUCAUUGUCAUUUAUAAAACAUGGACAUAAUGAGUCUAAUAGAAAACACCGAUGCUAUAUGAAAAACAUAUAAAAGCUUCACAGAUUACAUUAUCAAUGAUGGUACAUGCUGAUAGUGUUAAUUAUAUUUCACAUCUCAUUUCUACAAGAGGAAAACAAUCACACAAUACAUGAUUUUGUAAACUCAUUGUCGUGGUCAAAUUGGUAACUGCUAGAAAUUAUCGGAGCACUUGACAAAGAUGAGACCAUUUCAAGUUCUAUCUCAUUGUUGUCAUCAUCAAUUGGUGCCUCUAUCGGAUAUAAAAUUGGUUUUGGAGGUAGUUGCAGUUUAUCGAUAUCUCCUUCAAGCAUAUCUAGAACUUUCCUCAUUGACGGCCGAUCCUUAGGGUUCAGCUGUACGCACCAUAGCGCAACGAUUAUCAUCUUCCUUGUUUCUCUUUCCUCUUCUAUGACUUCUACCCUCUCAACCUCCUUUUCUUUGCUGAAAUGAUCAUAAACCCACAAAGGAAAGUAAAUUUGACUUGAAUGCUCUGCAUGUGCAUUUAUAUUUCUCCUUCUACCGGCCAUUUCCAUUAACAUCAUCCCAAAACUGUAAACAUCGGCUUUAUAAGAAAUUCCACCAAUGUCUUUGUAGAAUAGCUCAGGCGCCAUAUAACCCAAGGUUCCUCUUGCUGCAGUCAACGGUACUAUGCUAUGACCGAUGGGAUAACGUCUUGCAAGUCCAAAGUCAGAAAUUUUCGGAGUGAAACUUUGGUCUAGGAGAAUGUUGUGAGGCUUGAUGUCAAAGUGAAGAAUUUGCAUAUCACAUCCCCGAUGUAGAUACUCUAUCCCUCUAGCUAUGCCAAGAGAGAUCUCAUGCAUUUUCUUAUAAUCAAGAGGAUCAUCACCAUCCUUAUUCAAAAUGUGUUUAUCCAAAGAGCCAUUCGGCAUGAAAUCAUAGACCAGAGCUUGUUUGGAGUAAUCGAAGCAAAAACCAACAAGUUGCACUACAUUGAUGUGGUGGAUCCUUCCAAUUGUGGCCACUUCACUAAUAAAAUCCUGGCCGUUAGAUUCUGGUUUGUUCAAAAUCUUAACCGCAACUUCAUUGCCACUUCUAAGGAUUCCUCUAUACACAGAGCCAUAUGCCCCCUCACCUAAUUUGCAUUUGAAUUUUUUUGUAAUCUUCUUGAUAUCCGAGUAAGAGUACCUUAUGGGCGAAAAGUUGUUGUGAACUUGUAGGAAUUCUUCGAUGUUUGCGUCGAUCGCCCGGUGCCUUCUCAUCCACUUAUAGAUUAGAAGUAUCAACACACAUGGAGCUCCAAGUAUGAAUUUUGCUGGGACGUAGUUGGCUACAUAGAAAUUGUCCAUAGAUUAGCGCCGUGCAAUAAUUUUUUUGUAAACAUAAUUGUUUUUAAUCAGAGUGCUUCUUGAGAUCAUCAUAGUUGUGAGGAGAAAAGGCCCAGCAGUCAUACCCAAGAAAAAGGCGAGGUGCCGACCUACAGGUGCCGCGUACCAAUGCUUGGUCCACGCAGAAUGAGGGGUGCCUGCAACAGAUUAAUUAGAGUCGGUGAUCAAUCAAUGAAGAAUUAAAUUUAUCAUUUUAGCAGUUAAACAUAAAUAUAAUUUACUCUCCUUGACAGCGCUCAGAUCACAGUUAAUUCAAUUCACCUAGGGAAUCCAUGCCAUCGUAGCAUGAUUCAUAAGUUCACGUCUCGCUCCGCGUAAUUCUAAUUUACAAACGUCAUUCAAUACGCGUGCAGUUUAUUCAACCGCAUAACAAUAACAGUCAUGCAAGGGACACGAGCAACAAUUAAAUCAACCAUUUUUCCCCAAACAAAAAUGAAGUAACAAUGUCAAAUCCAGAAAAGCUCCAAGAUUCGUAAAAUAAACGAGAGCAGUGCAUGCCGACCCUACUAAGAAAUCUAUUUAAACUUUUCUACUUAAGUGAUGUGGCAAUUUUUUCUAUUAUGUUUUUAAUGAAACUAGUGUCUUAAUGUGUGGAUUUCAUUAAAAAUACCCAAUUAAAACCUGCCACGUCACUUGGUAAGUAAAUUUUGAUCAGGUCUCUUAGUGAAGCUAGCAUUUAAGGAAAGGAGGAGGAGGAAGAAGAGAAAGAGAAAAAACAGCUUAGGGGAACGUCGCUUACUGAAAUAAUAGCCGCACUUCUCCCUUCGGUUAAUAAAACUUAAGAAGUGACAUGGAAAGAACAUUUUCGCAGAAAUGUAGAGCGGAUAGGUGAGAGUGAAUCCCUCGACCAUCUUGCUGUGGAGGUCCUUGUAUGGUAAGCUCCCAUACUGAUCCCCUUUCCGCCAUGAGAUUUGAUCCGAUGUGAAUGCCAUCAUGGUUACGGUGCAAGAGUCCUUGAUAUCCCCUACUUGUAAUUUCCGUAGUACAGCGUAUGAGUACACCUUCAUUUGGGAAAAAUGAGUUGUGUCGGCAGAGUAUGCGUCCUCAAUACAUGGUUUGGCAUCAAUAUAAGAAGUAGAAGUAACAGGUUGUGAGCACUUCAUGAAGGCCACAGUGACAUUGCCAUAUGGAAAUCCAUAUAAAUCAGCAAAUGGAUUAGUGAUAUUGAAGUACGUCAAUGGGUAACGAGGAAGGGAUGAACAAUUACCCUUCUGCAGUCCAUCAUCAACCACUGUGAUGUUACCAGAGAAGUCAUUUUGGAGAAUAGAGAAAUAAUUAAUCGACUUCACAUAAUAUCGGCCAGCAUUUAAAUAUAGAACAGUGUGGUUAUUUUCACAAACUAGCUCAUACCAAGAGUGACCGCAGUCUUUUGGAUCGCUUUUCAAUCGAAAAGGAUAACUUAUGUUACGGAUCUCACCGCAAGAUGAAGAGGCACACAAGUGAUUCUUCUUCGCAUCGCAGCUCGUUCCUAACAAUAGCAGAACAUGCAAUAUGAGAAGUAAAACACGGAGCAUAAAUAUCGAGCUGAGAGAAAUAAUCAUCUCUUUAUCGUUUGAUCCGAUGCAAUGGAAGUUUUAGCUCACUUAGUGAUGCGAGGGAUGCUUAAUAAAGGGUUGGGAGUCAUCGGUCAUCGAAAUGUCCAAGUCAACCCUAAAACAAAGUCUAGCGAAGAAAAACUUAAAAAGUACGGCCCCGCAAAAACACGAUCUCGAGUGAUAGAUAGCUUUCACAUUCAUUAGGGAGGAAAUUUCUCUGCAUUUUCCAGAUAGGAUUUUUCUUGGCAAAUUAAUUCUCUCUAGAAAUUUAUUUUAGUAUCUUAAAAAAGAAUCGGUUUUAAUGUUUUGUACCCUAAACUCAAUCAAAAUCUAUUCAAACGAGGCAUCUAGCGUUCUAUUUUAUUUUCAAGGCCAAUAUUUCAUAAGUGUCGCUUCGUUAAAUUUUGAAGACGAAAAGGAAAAGGAUGAUGUAAUUCAUUGUAUAAGGUUUUUCAUUUUUGAGAAAAAAAAUUAGUAACCAAGAAAGAGGAUAAUGUUAAAUAAUGGGUACAUAGAUUUUAACUUUUAUAAUGUCGCUUUCCGCAAAAAUAGAAAGAAAAUAAGGAACGGGUGCUUCUUGCUUAUGGAUGAUGUGAAAGAUAGCAAUAUGGUAAAUUCUCAACUAGUGAUGGGACCGACACACCUUGAUUAGAAAUUCACUUGCGUUGUCGUGGAUCGACACACGCAAGGACUAUAGACGCAACAUUUGAAUUCACAAAAAUAAUGUGAUGUUUACUUAUUCACUAUGCUUAAAUUUUAAAAUCACUCUCUUGUAAUUGUGCUAUAAUUAUGAAUAUGACCGUCGUCUCUUUUCCAUAAUUGAAUCACUUAAUGAAUGUACAUACUGAUCUCAACGAAAAAGGCAAUACGAUCAUUUCUCAGCCAACGAUCAAUUGAUGUGGGUCUCGAUUAGAAAUUCACUUCCUUCGUCAUUCUUGACACGCGCAAAGACUAUAGGUGUAAUAUUUGCAUACACAAAAAUAAACUAAUAUGUACUUAUUCACUGUCAAUUGAAAUAUUAUUCUUGUGGAUCAGUCAAUCACUCGCCUAUAAAAUAAUCUCAUCUUUUUCUCCCAAUAAAUCGAACUGACCUAUUACAAUAUCCAAUUGGAACGUGCCACAUCACUCAGUAAGUAAAUUUUUAUACGAUCCCUCAGUAGAGCUAACAUUUAAGAAAAGGGUGAGGAUGAAGAAACAAACAAAGAAAGAACUGGGAAAGUGAGCUUUCGGGAAUCCUGGUGUCUGCACCUCUCCCUUUGGUAUUCAAAACCUAAGUAGCAAAACUCGAAACUUGUUGGUGGCAAGAGUUUAUAAUAGGAGAUAGUGAAUCCCUCGACCAUCAUGUCGUGGAGGUCCUUAUACAGUGAGCUUGCACGAUUAUACCGGUCCUUUUUCCACUCCGGAAUACAAUGCGGUAUUAAAGCCUUUAUGGUUAUGGUGUAAGUAUCCUUGAUGUCCCCUACUCGGAGAUUAAACUCAUGUACAGCGUAUGAGUACACCUUUAUCGGAAGGAUAUGCUCCCUCAAUACAUGGUUCAGUAUUGACUUACGAAGUAGAAGCAAGGGGCUGUGAGCACUUCAUGAAGACCACCGGCACAGCUAACGAAUCGUAUGGAUCAUUAUCACUAAGUUGGAGAGCGCCAAUGAGUAAUGAGGGAGGGAUGAACAAUUACUUUUUUUGCAGUCGAUCAUCAACCACCGCUAUUUCGCCAUUGAAAAAACAUUUGCUGAGAUUGGAAUGGUACUAAAUUGAUUUCACAUAAUAUUGGCCGACAUAUAGAUAUAGAACAAUGCGAUUAUUUUCACAAGCUAGCUUAUGUUCAUAGCGUCCGCAUCCUUUUGGGUUGCCUUUCAAUCGAAAGUGAUAUGUCACGAACCUCGCCACAAGAUAAAGUGGCAGACAAGUAAUUUUUCUAUGCACCACAACUCGUCCCAAUAGCAGCAGAAGGGAAAAGUACCAAAAAAGUCCUAAACCUAUUGCAUUGGUACAAAUUCAGUUCUAAAAUUUUCAAUUUGACCAAUUUAGUCAUAAACCUUUUGAUAUUGGUACCAAUUCAAUCCUUCCGGCCAAUUUUGGCCAGCCGGCACUGAUGUGGACGUCGGCCGGUGGCCGGACACUGACAUGGAAUUUUUUUUAUAUUUUAGUUUUUUCGAAUUUUUUUAUUUUUUUAUUUUUUUAUUUUUUCCUUUUUCCUUUUUCCUUUUUCCUUUUUCCUUUUCUUUUCCGGUAGUGGUUGGCGAGCCUCCGGUGAGGCUCGCCGCCACUAGGCGAGGGCCGCGAAGCCCUCGCCUGGACUCUCCGUGGGCCGGCGGCAAGGCCAUGGCGGCUAUCGUCAUGGUAGAGGCGAGGGCACGUCGGUGAGGGUCGCGGCCCUCGCUCGGCCUUGCCUAGGGCCACGGGUGAGGUCGAGUGAGGACUGCGACCCUCGCCGGUGGCUGGCGAGGGCUUUGCGGCCCUCACCUCCGCCUAGCGAUGGCCCCCAUGGCCUCGCCGGCAGCCCUGGGAGAGGCUGGGCGAGGGCCGCAACCCUUGUCGGCUGCAGGCGAGGGCUUCGCGGCCCUCGCCCAGUGGCCGGUGAGCCUCACUGGAGGCUCGCUAGCCACUGUUGGAAAAGAAAAGGAAAAAGGCAAAAAAACUUUAAAAAAAUAAAAAAAAAUCGAAAAAAAAAAAUCAUAAAAAUUGCCACAUCAACGUCCAGCCACCAGCCGACGUCCACGUCAGUGCCGGCCGGCCAAAAUUGGCCAGAAGGACUGAAUUGGUACCAAUAUCAAAAGGUUUAGGAUUAAAUUGGUCCAAUUGAAAAGUUGAGGAUUGAAUUGGUACCAAUGCAAUAUGUUUAUAACUUUUUUGGUACUUUUCCCGCAACAGAACAUACAAUAUGAAAAGCAAAACAUUGAACAUGCUUAUGGAGCUUAGAGACUUGAUCAUCUCUCUAUUGUUUGAUCUGAUGCAAUGAAAGUUUUUGCUAAUCGGUAAUGUGAUGGAGGCCUAGUAAUAUGAAUGGAAAGAGCCUGGAGUCCUUGGUCAUACAAAUGUCUAAGUCAACAAAUAAAGCAAAGUCUAGUGAAGAAAAAGUGGAUAUCGCAUGNNNNNNNNNNNNNNNNNNNNNNNNNNNNNNNNNNNNNNNNNNNNNNNNNNNNNNNNNNNNNNNNNNNNNNNNNNNNNNNNNNNNNNNNNNNNNNNNNNNNNNNNNNNNNNNNNNNNNNNNNNNNNNNNNNNNNNNNNNNNNNNNNNNNNNNNNNNNNNNNNNNNNNNNNNNNNNNNNNNNNNNNNNNNNNNNNNNNNNNNNNNNNNNNNNNNNNNNNNNNNNNNNNNNNNNNNNNNNNNNNNNNNNNNNNNNNNNNNNNNNNNNNNNNNNNNNNNNNNNNNNNNNNNNNNNNNNNNNNNNNNNNNNNNNNNNNNNNNNNNNNNNNNNNNNNNNNNNNNNNNNNNNNNNNNNNNNNNNNNNNNNNNNNNNNNNNNNNNNNNNNNNNNNNNNNNNNNNNNNNNNNNNNNNNNNNNNNNNNNNNNNNNNNNNNNNNNNNNNNNNNNNNNNNNNNNNNNNNNNNNNNNNNNNNNNNNNNNNNNNNNNNNNNNNNNNNNNNNNNNNNNNNNNNNNNNNNNNNNNNNNNNNNNNNNNNNNNNNNNNNNNNNNNNNNNNNNNNNNNNNNNNNGACGAAAAGGAAAAGAUCUCAUAUUCAUCAUUUAAGCUUUUAUUUUGACAAAAAACAGAAAUUGAUAACAAAAAUAGACUAUGAACAAGAAUAUUAACUUGUAUAAUGUUGCCUUUGGCAAAAGUAAAAGGAAAAUAAGAAAUAAGUGUUUCUUGGAUGGUGUAACACGUUAUGAAAGAGAGAAAGUAAUACGACAAUUUUUAGUGGUGAACUGACGCGUCUUAACUAGAACCUCACUAACUUCGUUGUCACGCAAAGACUAGAGAUGCAAAUUUCCAAGUCAACCAUCAACACAAAGUCUAGUGAAGAAAAAGUGGGUCUCAUGUGGAAAUUGCAGCCCUAGCAGUCAAGGCGACAAAAACACGGUAUUGGAAUUAUUUAUGCAUGGCUUUCACAUUGAUUAGAAAAGAAACUUCUCUGCAGUUUCCAUAUUGACUUUUCUUAGUACCAUAAAUAAGAAUCGAUUUGAAUGUUUUGUAUUCUAAAAUGAAUCAAAAAUCCUUUCGAGUGAGGCAUUGGCAUUGUAUUUUCUUUUCAAGGCUAAUAUUCCAUGAAUGUCGCUUAUUAAAUUGUGAAGACAAAAAGGAAAUACAUAUCGUAUUUUAUUGUAUGAGCUUUUUCAUUUUUAACAAAAAACAAAAAUUGGUAACAAAAAUGGCUUAUUGAUGGGAAUAUUAACUUGUAUAAUGUUGCUUUUGACAAAAGUAAAAGGAAAAUAUGGAGUAAGUGCUUCUUGGAUGGUGGAAUAGGUUAUGAGAGAAAGAAAGCAAUGCAAUAAUUGCUAUCGAGGGACCGACGCACCUAGAAAGCAAUACAAUAAUUGCUAUUGAGGGACCGACCCACCUAGAAAGCAAUACAAUAAGUGCUAUCAAGGGACCGACGCGCCUUGACUAGAACCUCGCUAACUUCGUCGUCACGCAAAGACUAUAGAUGCAAAAUUUGAUUUUAGAAAUAUAAAGCGAUGUUUAUUUAUUUACUGUCAACUUUAAUAUUUCAAUCACUCUCCCACCAUUGUGCUAGAUCUAUGAACAAUAUUAUUAUCUCUUUCCUAUAACAGAACCACUUAAUGAUUGAACUGAUCAAUUUCAAUAAUACUGUCAUUUUGUCAAAUGAAAGAAAUGUUGUUGCCCUUCAUCAUCAUCUUCUAUAUCUGAAUGUGUGAUAUUGAAGGUGUCAUGUAAGCUCAAAUGAGACUAUCGGUCAAUUUACUAUUGUGAACAUAAUAUCAAAGAGUUUCACAUAGAAAUUCUUCUCAGCGAAACAGACACGCCUUCAAAUAGUUGUAAUUAGCACUUACCAUAUAUUUUUCAAGCUAAUGCGUACACCUAAGUAUAAUUGAAGAGACUGAAAUGGAUUUUCCAUAUAAUACAGAAAACUUUAUUUUAACUGACGCAUCCAAUGACGUUUUAACUGCACAUGUUCUCGACCAAUAACAAAAAAAAAAAAAAAAUGCACAUGUUCUAUUUUUUGUAGUAAUAUUAUUACUGAUUACGUUUUUAGUUUUCUUUUUAUUGCAUAUUACCCUUUCUGGAAAUUGAUUUGUUCCGCGAGCAGUUCCACACGCAAUGAUACCUUAGUUGCUUUCUAUAUCAUCAUUAAAUAUUCAGCAAUGAUUAGUCAAUUUUUUAAGUAGAAAAUCUCUUGGUGAAAGUAUCCUAUAUUAUCUCUUGCACGUACACCAAAAGAUUUGGACAUAAAUUAUGCAAAUUGAUGUAUCAACUAUCAAUUCAUUCAGUGCCAUAAAAUACUAUAGAAAAAUAAUAAUCUGUUUCGAAGUGUAAAAUCUUUCAUUUUUGACAAAACUGAAAUUUGUAACUGAAAAGAUUAAUAACGGCACUAAAGACUAUCGUUGCACGUUACAAGAAAAGAAUAAAGGCCAUACAAUAAUUUCUCAACCAGCAAUAGAUGGACGCGAGCCUCAAUUUGAAAGUCACUUGCUUCAUAAUUGUCCGACACGCACGAAGACUAUAGGUGCAAUAUUCGCAUUCAUAAAAAUAAAGCAAUACGCGCUUUUUCACUAGCAAUUGAGAGUAUUAUUCUUGUAAAUCAAUCACUCACUCUCCUGUAAAAUAACCCCAUCUCUUUCCCGCAAUAAAACUGAAUGAACUGACAGAUCUCAACAAUAACGUCGUUUUAUCAAACAAAAGAUGCAGUUACCUGCUUCAUAAUCAUUUUCCAUCUCCGAAUGUGUGGUAUUGCAAGUGUCAUGUAAGCUCAAAUGGGACUACAGGGAAGAGUGCUGCCAUUUUCAUUCUCUGUUGAUAGCUACUUGAAUCUGCUCAAGACUCCUCCCUUUCGUUUCAAGGACCACCGUGAUCACGAACACCAUCCCUGUGGCGUUAAUCACCGCAUAAAGAAGGAAGGUACCUGUGAAGCAAGCGAGCAGAGUUAUUUGCUUUUGACAAGUUUUGCGGAAGCAUAUUCUGACAUUUUUCUCAUGGGAAGAAUGCUUUAGUAUGUACUACCUGUCUAUUAAUCAUUCUGCAGAAAGACCCGCUUAGCUUUUUUCUUUUUUAAAUGAAACGUCGGCUCAAUUUUGGUGAUAUUCAAAUCUAGGUAGAAGUUGCUGUAAAUGCGUUGAUUGAAAUAAAUGGUCUGAAUAUGCAUUCAAGAGCAUGAAGAACGGAGUGACACACCUCCAGCUCCAAAUAGGAUUGAAAUGUUCAGGAAAAGCUAAGUCUCAAGUCUGUAGUUUGGUCGAAUUCGCGCAACAGUUCAAAGAGUGUUUUCAGCAGAGUCGUACCGUAGGAGCUCCAGCUCAUUAAGUAGUUGAAAGUGUAGGAAACUGCCCAAGCGCCGAACCAGUUCACUAGUGUUGCGAAACCUCCAGCUACUCCUUUGAUAUUAAUGGGGAAAAUCUGAACUCCAGCACACAUUACAUGAUUGGCAAAAGAAUUUUGAAACUCUUGUACUAAUAACACUAGUUAUUAUUUUGAAAACAACCCUUUAAUUUGAUAAGCAUGAAACUUCGGGGGAUGCUUAGGAUUACCUCGGACAUCACGACCCAAGGAACCGCGCCCAUUCCAGCCGAAAAUGCUGCUAUGUAUAGCUGAGCAUUGGAAAAAACAGAACAGAAAAAUUUGUAGUAGGGAGUUGUUGCGGUGGCCAACUGGAUAGAGCCAGAAAGAGAUCAAGGCAGUUGAGAUUAUUACCAGAAUGCCGGUGACGGCAAGUAUCGGGACAGCAUCAGCUGCCAGAUCAUGAACCUGGCUCGGAAGAUCCUCAAAAAAUUACUGGUUGACAAGCAUUGCAAAGCAGAAGGAAGAUACUAGGACUGAUAGUAAUUACCUUUAGAAAGAAUGAAAGGGCAGUUACUAUGCAUCCCAGGACCAAUCCUGUCCCCAAGAUCUGCGAUUGAGAGAGAGAGAGAGAAGGUUAUGGGUCAAGUUGCAGAACUUGCGAAAGGGCAGAACCAGAAAAGCUUUGUUACUAUAGACAUGAUUUCUUAGCUUUCAUCUAUUUUACCAAGAGAAGGGGCUUUCUUCCAGCUCUAUCGACCAGUGCAGCGCCAAUAGCCGUGACAAUAACCUGCAAAAAUUUACUCUUUAAGCGUGACGAGUAUAAAACUAGAUCGNNNNNNNNNNNNNNNNNNNNNNNNNNNNNNNNNNNNNNNNNNNNNNNNNNNNNNNNNNNNNNNNNNNNNNNNNNNNNNNNNNNNNNNNNNNNNNNNNNNNNNNNNNNNNNNNNNNNNNNNNNNNNNNNNNNNNNNNNNNNNNNNNNNNNNNNNNNNNAAUUGCAUAAGUUAUGGUUCCAACGCUGGAGGAGAAACCUGAGGAGAUUGUACAAAUGCGAUUAUAAAGGCGAGACUAAUACCUUGCUUGUGAGAUUCAACACUAAAUUAUGUGAACAGCUCAUUCAGUGAUAAUUAAGUAGACCAAAAGCAUUCGACAUUGCGAAUUUUACUAACCCAUUUGAAUAUUAACUGGAUUAUAUAAAUUGGAACCCCUGCUUUGCUUUUUAUUUAGCUUUUCGUUCUGGAAUCUUAAAAUGCAAAGCAUACUUUAAUUUUUGUGGUGCCCAAGAGCUUCUUGCUAUGAACUGCAUACCUGCUUCCUCAAAAAUAUUGCUUGUAUAGAAACAGAUGCCAUUUAUCCCUCCGAACUGCUGGAUGACCAUCAAUCCAACACCAAUCUGGCCAAAAUUUAACAAAUUUGUCAGCAAAAAGAACAACAAUGGGAAAUAUCACUAAAAGUACAACUACCGCAUAUUCCCAAUCCACAGGGCAUUCCAAGAAAGCAACGAAGGAGGGACUUUAUUGGAUACAUAGCAGUAAAUACAGAGAGAAGAUUACGAUGACAGAGCUCAGAUAUCUUCUCUGAAAUAAAUCGAGAAUGCUGGCUUUCGGGAGCGGUUGAAGAGUUUCGAUGUACCUGUCAAGAAAAACAAAUUCGAUCAUUCUGUCAGUUAUUCGCACUUAUAAAGUUGAGGCACUACGAUGAAACGAGUAUAGACUUAAAACCUUUUACUUGUAUUUCAGCAGCCUCUUCAGAAAUGUCCGCAUCCUUUCCACGGAGUUUCUGCAGCGCAGCUUCAAACUCCUUUUCACGGCCCGUUUUCGCCUGCAUUUGGCAGAAUCCUAAAAUUCAUUCCAACAAUACAAAUCCCUCUCUUCCAACAAUUCAGAUAAGAAGAAUCUGGUGUUCAUCUUGAUUUGUUACCAGCCAUCUAGGAGACUCUGGAAUGAAAAACAGGCCGAACAGUAGGACUGCACAGGGGAUUAGACCUGCAUAAACUGCAGAUGUUCAAGAUGGUUUCAGACUUGGACUUUUCUAUACAACAUUGGCACUAAACUUGAAUUAGGCUACUUUUUCUGUUUUACCAAUUAAUGCCAAAACCCUCCAAGCUUAUACUGUCCCGAUUAUGAAGGAAACGGACACUCCAGCAACGAUCAUAAGCUGUGGAGAGAAGAGAACAUGUUAGGCCCAGUAGGUUCUGUAGGAUGUUCGUAUAUACACCAUCUUGCACUUGCAAGAGGGCAAAAUUUGCUACAAGCUAAGGCCUUUUGCCAAUAGCUCCAUGCUUGCAAUUCUAACCAAGAAUGUUCAUACAAAAUCUUUGCCUGUUUGACAGCAGUCAAAGCUCCACGGAGAUUUUUGGGUGUAAUUUCAGCUAUAAAUAUUGGUACCUGGACAUAAAUUAGAAAAAUAUUAACCAAUCUAAACCGAAGAGAGAGCCUCAUGUUGUCACGGUGAAUCGAGUCCAGCAUGUUGUCGUAGAACAGCUUGCUACAUCAAAUUUAUGUGGUACGAAGUGAGGAAUUACCACAUAGGAAAAGACUCCCAUUCCAUAUCCCGUGGCCAAUCUUCCGAUAUCCAGAGCCAGUGCUCCCUAGUUUACUCAAAAUUAAACAGAACAGAGAGUUGAUGAGACUUGAAGUUCUUAUGCAACUAAUCGAUCUUCAUGUAUGAUUAGGCUUGUAAAUAGGAUAUGGACACACCUCAGCAAAGUAAAUAGCAAGCCAUCCUGCUACACAAAGAGCGCUCGCUAUUCUCAUUGUCUGCAUUUUGAGGCAAAUGUUUUUACUGUCACGUCCUCCGUCCAUGAUAUGACUAAAUCCCAAAGCUAAAACUCUCAGAGUCUUGAACAACACUGUUCUGUUUUACAUUGUGAAAGACGCACUCAUUUGCUGCUUACCCACUUACGGCCAACAAAAUCAGCGAUUGGUCCUCCGGUAAUUGCACCAAUCAUUACACCGAAUGUCAGUAUGGAUCCAAAGACUGAAUACUGUUGAAAGACACAAAGUGUAACUGCAAAUCAGCUUGAGUUCAGUGAGAGCAAGAACUUCAGUUACCAUCUAGCUAACAACGCUAUAAGUCACCGAAUGUCCGAGAAUCUCAGUGGAAAGCUAUUCUGAACAAACCUAUCACUUCGAUCAGAAACCUGAAUGAUAUGCAGUCGCAAUUUUCAGCUGACGAUACCCAAUCUAAAUCUCCCCAUUUUUUGGUUUUCUUGUCCUUAGGUGUCCAACAAUGGAACUCGAUGUGAAAACUUGGUAUACAUUUCACUCGUUACAAUGCAGAAAGAAUAAGAUGUCUAGAGAAAGAAGUAUCUCUACCUCAAAGCCAACACCCUUAUUUUUGAGAGAGUCUCGUUUAUAAAGUUUUUGAUCAUAUAACUCGUCCAUAUUAUGGACCCGGAAUAUGAGCAGAUCUUUACUUUGAUUUUCUUGUAUACAGGCCCCUUCAGUGACAAGUCCAAUAUUGAAUCGAAGCAACGAACAAAGACAACGCGACAUGUGCUUCUCAACACUCGUAGGUAAAUUCGACAUACCUCAGCUGUAGAGAGACCAAGUUCCUCCACUAUAGCAUCCUGAGUUGGUGAUGAAUAACCUGCCUGAAAAAUCCAAUGAGAACAAUUUCUCUUUAGAUUCAAUUAAUCACAUCCUUUUCAUUUUAACCAUUACUAUUGGACCUGGACUUUUCAAAAAGAAAUUGCAUUUCCUACUUACGCAGGUCCCGAAUUCAUGGGAACCACAAACCGCAACGAAUGUGGUGAAAUAGACCAUCCACGGACGACCCUUAUCGGUUCCUUCAUCUUUGCCAGCUCAGUCCUUCUCUUGCGGCACGAGGAGACGCUCUCUUACUCCUUCUCUGUCCCCGGUUUCUUCAUUUUCAAUGUCCUCGUUAAUCGCCAUGCUUGCUCGCCUUACAAAAAUGCUCCUUCGUUCUCUAUCUGACUACGUACGAGGAACUAGCAAAUCUAUAAGCUCCAGAGAAGAUAAGUUCUCUUUCCAACGUGGCUACUCUGCUUGCUUUAUAUGGAUGACUCGAAAUGAGAAACCCCAAGUGCUAAUACGGAAACCCCAUCACCGAUCGGUUUAUACUCGCGGUUUCUAGGAGUCCUCACGGACCUCAGUCUUGCAAACUGGCAAGCAACUCCUUGCUUUUCUGACUCGCCCCCGUUAAUGGUAUUGGAAUCACCAAUGGAACAGAGUCUCCGAAUACAGCAGGAUCACAGGUGUAAGGGGCUGCAUCGCUCUUUAUGGGCAAGGAGUAAAACAUGGAACUGGACUUUCUCAAUGACACGGCUCUGGAUAAAGACAAAGUAACAACCACGGACAAAGUUCUAUCUUUUUGAGCCAGCCACCGGCUAGGAAAACCAGAGUGUUUUUCUAACCUGGAAAGUAAUUAAGUUCUGUCCACUUUUGCAUGGAGGCAUUGUUAUCUUCACCUUUAACCCACGUUUAUUGUGUAAGAAAGAUAAGAUCUCAAUUAAUAGUUUCUUAUCUCUUUGGUGCAAUAAGAAACUAUCAAGAAAAAGAACUGUUCUGCUAGAACAUUAUUUUUCCUUUGGGAAUUUUCUUGACCAAAACCCUUUUUUUCCCAAUUGGACGAUGGGCACAAGAUAAUUUCGGCCGGACCUUCUUCUGGGGACAAAUUAUCUUCCUUUUCUAUUUUUUAAAAGAACCACUGCAUAUGCCAACAAAAAGCAUGCAUAUAGCCUCCUUUGUGGUCAGUGACGCUUUUGAUGUCUGCUCAAAUGGUAAGACUAGAUAGCAAGAAUUUCAAAAAGGGAUGUUUUUCAUCUUUCCAUAGUGGCCAAUUUUGCGGAAAAUGGCAAUUGAUAGUGGCAAGAGGUGUACAGAAUUACUUUCUACCAAGGACGUCAUGUACUGCCGAGGCCCAUGAAUCUAAAGAAUUCAGCCACCAUGAAGCCAGCCGACGGGAAAGAGUUCACAGGCACAACGGAAUGGACCAUAAAGUUGCAGAGCACAUUGGCCAAAAAUAUCCAACCACCAUUCUCCAACUACUUUAUUCGUCCACAUUUGCUGCAUCUCCGUCUUCUUUCACUUCACGAUUCAGAGUAGGCCAACAAAAUCCAGCAAGAAUAUAUAGCUGCGGCCUGCUCGAGAAAAAGAAAAUGUCAAAAAUAUAUCUUACUCUUGAUCUAAUAGCCACUCACAUAUUUUCGUUUUGAUAAAUAUCAUUCACAUACUUCCAAGAAAAAUCCCACAUUGAGAACAUUAAUUUGCCCCUCCAUGUAAACUCAUUUUAGCAUCUUCCUUACGGUUUGAGUAGACUGCAAAAGUGAUUUUUGAAUGGUAGAAUUCAUGUAGAUAUUUUUCAUGUUCAAAAGAAGAGGUGAGUGAUCACAGGAUGAGAAAUAAGGUGUAUUUCGUUAUAUUUUUCUCAAAAAACUUAGACAAAACAAAUAUGCUAAUCUUAUAAGUACAUAGUGAGAUUUGAAUUUCAAAUGUAUUAGAAGAAAAAAGGCAGUAUAAAUGUCAUAACUUUUGUACAACAACCACUUAAAUACCAUAACUUUUUAUUCAAUCAUUUAAAUGUCAUAGACGAUGACUUAAGCGUUGUAAUUUUUCAUUAAUAAGGAAAUCCGACAUGACAUGGCACUUAUGGUAAACAUUAUUUAAAAAUUACAACACUCAAAUGAUCAAUUGAAAGUUAUGGCACUCAAGUAAAUAUAUAUAUAUAUAUAUUUUUUUUAAAGUCAUGACACUCAAGUAAUCGAAAAACAAUGUUAUGGCACUUAGGUGAGCACCGCACGAUAGUUAUGAUACUUGUGAUGUCCUUAUCUCAAUAUCUUAGUAUCUUCUUCCAUUCAUGACACCAAAUCCCAUAAAAUAUAAUAAAAAGCACACGGGAAAAAAAAAAAUUUAGCUAAUGUUACGUAAUUGUAAGUGUCUAAUUAAGUAGAGAUUAAUCAGGCUGAUUCAGGUUUUAGAGGCUGCCGGUCAUUUUUGCUUAACCCUUACUAAACAAAGCUAUGAACAACGAGCGAUUGUUUUAAGCUAGUGGCUCCGUUUAAGCAUCCAAUAAAAAUCAGCAAGAUUAUUUAGCACAACCCUUCUAAUAUAAGAAGUUUUAGGAACUCUUAUCAUCACCUUGAAGAAGGGUAGCUAGGCAAGCGUGAUUAAAACACCCAGUUCAAAGACAAAGCAGCCUUCCCUAAUUUAAAGGGAAGAUAGGUGGACGCAAUACAACUUGCCUCAUAUAUAUAUGACCCCAAAGGCAUGGACUAAAAUAAGCCAUUUGCGGGUCCCUCUUCUGAUAAGGUCAAUCCACUUGUUGGAAUGGAAUGAAUUUGAUUGAUAGAGAAGGUCUAGAUUGCCUGAGGGAGCGGAUAUAUCCUAAUUGCAGAAAUAAUAUAUUAAUUGUAAUAGAGCAUAUGCCACUUUCAUUGUGCAUGAUUGCAUCUAAUCUAAGAGAUCUGGACUCUGUUCUUUCUUUCUUUGUUUUUUUAUUUCCCCUCCAAUCUUCCAAUUUGUAUAGAAAAAUAUGAUCCUAUCAGCAAGAGGAACUUGAAAAAUCGUUCUGCCGGCCUUGCACUGACGAAACAAAAAUAAUAAAGAGUGAAAAGUGACGGAUUAUUACCAAAAUGAAAUUGACAAAAAGCUGAGAGGUUAGGUGAGGUGAGCUGGGAAAGAAAUUUAUGUAUGAAUUAGAUUGUAAAAUAACCUUAGUCUAAAUUCUCGAUAUUUCUUUUGCCAUAUGUUAUGAAAUGAAAAAUCUCUAUUUGGACAAGAAAUUUUUCUUUUCUUGAUGACUGUGGAUUAUAAUAAUACAAUUAUGCAUUACUAUAAGUUUUCACCAACCUGUUCAAUGAACAUGGCUUCAUCCAUAAGGAUACAUCCAAGGAUGCACAAGAAUCAGAUUUCAACCAAGUCCAGAGAACUAAACAAGGCCUGGUUUUCCUCUCUUUAGGUAGACAUCCUGAUUGUGUUGACAAUCUUAUCCACCAGGACAUGUAAUUCCCUAUUUUCAAGAGUACGAUGCCUAAGGAAACGAACAUUUGGUACUCUUCUUUCAUCCUGCUCUUAUAUUUUUACUAAACAAGACAGAUUGCCAUACGUAUAAAGAUGUAUAACUAGAGAAGAUCCAAGAGAAUAUACUAUUAAAGGAUCGACUUAUUAAGACAUGACAAAUGCAACUUGAGUUCAUUAUUGGAUCUACACCUUAUAAAUAAAAAUACAAAUAUAUAUUUCGUUACUUAUAAAUUCCUAUGUAGGCUUGAUAUGAAAAAAAAAAUUGUCCAGGCCAUUACUAUUUUAAUACCAUACACUUUUUAUGCGCAACAAAAGAAACAAAGAAAGAUUUGCAUAUAUUUCGAGAAAGAAAAUCUAAAGAUUUCGAUUUUGCCUGUACGGAUGAAACAACAUCUUUUAUUUAAUUUGAGAGAUUUUUGUUCUUAUCUUAUUAAUCAACAUCUUUGCUAGUGAAUACAACAUAUUAUUACAAUUUUCUUUUUUCUUGGACAGAAAAAAGAGCUUAGGCUCGAAACCAAAGAUAGUAUUACUUUUUAUGUAAUAUAGAUUAUAAAUUCUUUAUUUUAAGGAAGGGCAGGGGUGAAUCACCUAUAAUUAAUUUUUUUACCCUAGAUAUCAACAUAGAGUACAUAAAACAACUACUUGCCCCCUCUGGACUUUUGUGGUUCUGCACAUCGUAUAUAAAUCAAUUCAAUUUGUUUAUGGCAACAUGGAAUAUUCUCUGAGCCACGAACUGUUGCUGUGACCUCACUUCCUCCUUCCUCUUCCUUCCCUCGCUUGGACGUUAGCUCCAGGACAAAACAGAGAGAUGGGUCGCUGGCCGAAGGACGCAAGGACGCGAGGCUGUGCCCGACGUUCGCCCAGGAAUGUCGUGCGGUACGAAGCAAGCUGGUCUCGUCCUUGAAGAAAGGGACAGAAACGAGAUAAAUGGGGGAGAAAGGCGGCAAAGGGAGGGGGGGUCUCUCUGGUCUUUUUGGGUUUGUUCGGCCGAGAUAGAGCAACCAAGAGAGAGAGAGAGAGAGAGAGAGAGAGAGAGCUCGUGAGAGUGAGAAGGCGAGCUCGAGAGAGAGAGAAGGAGCGAGCCAGAGAAGAGAGGGAGCUCGAGGGUGGCUGCUUCUAGAAGGGUGUGGCUGAAAACCAAGGAGAGGCUAGAGCCGCUCGAGAGGGGAGACCGAGAAGGUGGAUAGCGAGGGAGAGCAGGAGAGAGAGGCGACUGUGUUCUCGAGUUCUUCGGGGGAGGCUGGAGACAGCGAGAGCAACAGAGAGAGUGAGAUAUGAGAGAGUGAGCAAAGGGUGAAGUGGAGAGAGAACCGAGAGUGAGCGGAGGGAUGGACUGAGAGAAAGCAGAGACCCAGGAGUCGAACUUCGUUCUCGGACAAGCGUUACCCGGCCAUCCCCAUCAUAAACUGGCGAUCUCCAGCCAACACCCUCGAGCAUGUGAUGAGUUUUCUUUGGGUUCGAUCCACUUUUAUCUCGAUGAUCCUGGCUCGGUGCAACGUCGAGGCGUCCGACCAUAGCUCGUUUCCUUUCAGGCUCACCUUCUGGCCGUCGUCGCCGAGCCGGGUAGGGAUAUUCGUGGUCAAACACUUCUCUCUGGGAACUCCGUUGCUUGGUUUUAUUUAAGACGGAACCGAAACGAUAGCUGGGUCUCGUUUUCCCUAGUCCACCAGCAUGCUCGAUUUGAACGAGCCG